rnacentral:lncRNA from 1 species
UUCAACUAGCCAUUACGAGUGCACAAACACCAGCUGCCUCACCUUCCAGUACGCCAACCACCACCACCACUCCUCCACCUUCAACUUCGCCACCACCUACAACUUCCGCACCACCUCCUUCAACAACCCCUCCACCUACAACUUCAGCACCACCUCCUUCAACAGCAACGCCUCCACCUUCCACCACGCCCAUCGCGCCAGCUCAACCACCUGCAACAACUCCCCCUCCCACUGUUGCACCAGCUACAAGCCCAACUGUCCCACCGCCACAAACUCCACCACCUCAACCACCUCAAACUCCUCCAACCACAGCUCCAGCUCAACCGCCAGCAGUGCCACCACCAUCACCACCACCAGUAUCUCCUGCACCAGCACCAGCUCAGAAACCACCAGCUCCUGCACCAGUAAAGCUGCCCCCAGCACCUGCACCCAUUACUUUGCCACCGGCUCCUGCACCAGCUCCCACCAAGCACAAGAGAAGGCACAGGCACAGGCGCAGGAGACACCACCAUGCACCAGCACCAGCACCAACAGUUCCAAGCCCCCCAGCACCACCUGCAGUGCCAACUACAGAUGACACGACACCAGCACCAUCACCUAGUCUCAAUUUGGUAAUGCCUUCUAAGUUCUACUAAGAAAAAAGAACAAAAUCAAUGUAUGAAUUGAGGAUGUUUACAACAUAUGAAUCUAAUUUUAUUAUUUGUUUCUAUGAAAUACAGAAUGGAGGAGAUUCAUUGUUGGUGGCAGGAACAAAGCUUUGGUGGGCAAGGACAGGAUUGACUAUUGCCAUUUUGAUCGCUAUUACAGGCUAUAGUUUCUAGGAACUCAUAAGCUAAGGGGUGAUUGUGAUUUACUUUACAAUUCCUUGUCAUACCUUUUUUCUUUUUGGUUUGAAUUUCUCUGUCACAUAACAGAGAAUAUUGUUUCAUUUGUGUAACAAAAUAAAUUGAAAUUUUAUUAGAAAUAGAUACGAAUAAGACCAGCCAAAAGCUGAAGAAGCAAAAUAUAUAUAUAUAUACCUGGGUAGCUUAGCUUAUGUUUAUUUUUCUCGCCUUGCCAAGAAUAACAACCAAAUGGUUCCACCAGGAAAAAAACUUUACUCAACAAUCGAAUUCCCAGACCAACCUUUGUCAAUACCCAAUUGAAUUUGGACCCCAUAGUAAAACUCAUUGUGGAUCAUGAAUUUUGCAUCGAUUGAUUUUAAGUGGAGUGUGAUUUUCCUUUUUCAAAAGUAAAUGUGAAAUGAAGUAGAGAUGGAGAGAAGAGAAUAAUUACUUACCUCAUUUUAUUUUACUAUUUAUUUCUCAAAACUAAAAUAUAUUUGAAGAAUCUUUUUAAAUAUUUGUUUGUUUUUAAUAAAUAUUAAACAUAAUUCCAAAAAUCAAUUUGAAGCCGCAUUGGAACUAAUAAUGGUUCUUAAAAUUAUACAUGCAUAACUGCAAGAGCCAAUUUAAGGGCUCAAUCUAAAAUGAAUAAAAUUACCAUUUAACUCUCCAUCAUUAAAUUAAAAAUUAAUUUAUUAUAAAAUUGGACUAAAUUGUCAAAUGAAGCCUUUUUAAAAAAAAAAGAAAUUUACGGAACUAGCCUGAUAUUUUGAAAAAUUACGAGAAUGGACUGUUUUUGAUAAAACGCUUCUAGUUGAAGUUGUUUUCAAGAAAACUCAAGCGUUUUCCCCUCUAACCAGUAAAGCGCUUCUAGCUCAGCACGCUAAUGAAAAACGCAUCCAGCUCAACGUGUCCUCCCCCCACGGUCACUUCCAACAGCUAUUUUAAAUAGGCGUUCCCCCCCCAAACGGUAAAAAAAAUAUAUAAACCCCUCACCUAUUAAUUUCUCACAUUUCUCUCUUAAAUCUCUCAAAAUUUCUCAAUCCACUCUAAAAAAAUCUCUCAAAUUCUCUCUUAAAUUUUUUACUAAAAUUCUAUUUCUAUGUAAAUUCUAUUUUUUAUUAUAUUUUUUAAAAAUAUUUUCAAGAAAUAUUUUUUAUUAAAAAUUAUUUCGUGUUUUAUAUGAUUUAGCAAUGGUCGAGUCUCUAAUUCAUCUUGAUAACAAGCACAUUUCUGUCAAUCAAUUGCAAAUGGUAAUAAUAAAUUUUAAUCUUGUUUAAUUUUUUUUCAUUGUUAUAUUUUAACUUAAUAUUUUUAUAAUUUUUACGUAAAUAGGUAGAAGAUCGAAUUUUAUAAUACCAUAUUCGUAAUCUACCCGGUCCUCCAUCACUGUUGAUCGAAUCAUACUUGAGGGAAGCCAGUUUUUGGCACGUGACCCUUGUAGGCCGGGGGUGUAAGUUGGACCCGAAACUCACAAGCGCGUUGGUGGAGAGGUGGAGACCCGAGAUGCACACAUUUCAUCUUUCAUGCGGCGAGUGUACUAUUACUUUGGAAGACCAGGUCUGUUCAGUCUGCUGAUUGGGGAGCCGUAUGUGGUGAUUUUUUGGGUGCGGCUCCGGAGAUGAUUUACGGAGGUCGGAUCAAAAUGGCUUGGAUAAGAAAAAAUUUCGUGGAGCUGGUUGAGGAUUCAACUGAAACUCAAAGAGAACGAUACACUCAGGCGUAUAUCCUUCAGAUUAUCAGGGGCAUCCUGAUGCUAGAUAAGUCACAAAAUCUCGUCCAUCUAAGGUGGCCGCUGAAACUCGUCGAUUUUAGAGGGGCGGGAGAACUCAGUUAAGGGUUUUUUGUGCUGGCGAUAUUGUAUCGAAAGAUGUGUCGACAGACGCAACCAGGAAAAAUCAAAAUUGGUGGUUACCUUUUACUACUACAAUCAUAAGCUCGGUUCCAGCUUCCAUUUUUAUGUCCUCGAGCAAACUACCUGUAUACAUUCUCACUCGUAACAAUGUAAAAUUCAAUAGAUAUUACCAUGAUUAAUUUGAUUUAAAUUAAAAUUAUUAUGCUAAUAAGUUAUUUAAAUAGGUGGAACCAUGCGUCGAGUCACGUGGGACUACCUAUUGAGCUUCAAGAUAUACGGCUUCUAUUAAACCAAUGACCAGAAGCGGAGGUAUACAUUUAUUUAAUUUUGAACUAUAUACAAAUAAUGUAUUUGAUUUCAUAUUUAAUAGUAUAUAUAUAACUAAUGUUUUUUAUCACGUUAAUAUAGUUUGAAUGGACACCAUACGAGGAUCCGACAAUUCAAGAAGUAAUCCUUGAGAAUCCCAACGCCUGGCACAUGAAGGUCCCAUUGGUAGUGUAUGCUACUAUGGAGAUGCACGAGACUGAUAGAGUGUUGUGGUAGUUCGGAUUUCGACAGUCAAUUCCUAUGACACCUUAAAACCUUGAUGAUCUGCAUCUUAUCGACUUGCAGCGGCUGGAUGAGAAUUAGCUAGUAUUCCACUCCCAACAUAUCAACAUGUGGAACAAUCGGUAUAAUUUUUUACCUACUCACAAACCUAUUACUGUUCUAGAGUUAGCAUGCGGUCUGGAGUACAUGUCAUGGUUUAGGAUCCAUGGCAAACCAUAUUUGUAUGGGGAAGAAGCGACUUGUCAGCAUCCUUGUAUGAGUAGGUCAUAACAGCCCCUUUUAAAUCCAAGGGCUGGCGAGGCAGGUCCAUCAUCAGCACCCACGCAAGAACCGGCAUCGAUGGCCUCAACAUCGAUGCCUACACCACCCUCCAUUUAGUAUUUACCGUCUUAUUCUGGUGCAUAUUCUAACCCUAUCAUCUUCACACAAGCACCAUAUGUUGCACCACAUUUUUCUGCUUCUGGUCUUAUGCCAAGUUGGAUUGUUGGACAUCCAUCCCCAAUAUUUUACACGCUUUCGGUUGGUGCAUAUUCUAACCUUAUCAUCUUCACACAAGCACCAUAUGUUGGACAUUUUUCUGCUUCAGUAUUUACCAUAUGUUUUACACGCUUCCAACUAAAUGCUCUUUUCAGUACUUUUGCUAACAGUAUGUUCUGCUUAGAGUUUUUUUCUCUAUAAAUUUCAACCCCCACUAUCCAGGACAUUUUUUCAGAACCCAUCUCGUCAAAAAUACUUUUUUAGUACUCCGAGUUUUAAUUUUUAAUAAAAAAUAAUAUACGAUUGGUAUAAAUAUGAAUAUUUUAAAUAUCGAAGUCAAUUAUUACAAUUAUUAGGUUAACAUUUUAUCAAAUUAAAACCCUAAAAUCUAACCCUAAACCCCUAAAAAUCUAAACAACCUAAAACCAUAAUAACAAAACCCUAAAACCUUAAUUAAUAAACCCUAAAACCUUAAAUUUUAUAGAAAACCCUAAUAAAACACGGGGAAAAUGAGUUUUCCUUGAAAAAGACUCCAAUUAGAAGUUUUUUUUAUCAAAAACGGUCCGUUCCCGUAUUUUUUCAAAAAAUCGGCUUAUUUCUAUAUAUAUAUUUUUAAAAAAGGACUUUAUUUGGUAAUUUAGUCGUAAAUUUGUAUUUUGACUUCCAAAAGAAGAAAAUUAUGUUUAAUCCCUCCAAAAAUGAUGAAAUCAUAAAUUAAUAUAUUAUAAAAUUAUGUUUUGAUUUCUCAAAAAAUUAUUAUUCAAUUCUGCCACCUAAAAACAAUUUGGAUAGGCCCUACAUGAUAGUCUGAGACAGGUGAUUAUCAUAAGACGAAGCAUGCCAAUUUUAAAGUGGAGGUAGAUGUGGUUAGACCUAUUCAUGAGUCAGGCUACCUACCUAGACCCAAAAGCCUACUUAAAAUUUGUAGGGUUUGGGCAAAACAUUCAAGACUCAAGCCGAUCCAACUGUUUUUAAAUUUAUAAUUUUUAUAUUAUGUUAUUUUUAUAUAUUAUGUAAUUUAUAAUAUAUUUAAAAAAUAAACCUAUACUAAAUAUAUAAUACUAGUCUAAUGUAAACAUUAAAAUAAUGUUAAGAUGACUAUGUAAAAAAUUUCAAUAAAUAAAAAAAUAUAAAGUUAUUAAUUAUUAAAUUAAAAUGAUAUAAAUAUACAUAUUUUAAAAAUUUUAAAAUAAUAUGAACGGACCUAAAAUGAACUUGAUUAGUCUUUUGAAAAUAUAGACUAACUUUGACAAAAAUCUUUGCAAAUAUACAUUUUUGACUUAGCAACAUUCACUUCCCCUUCUCUAUUAUCAUCUUUAAUCACAAUAUUCAUAGAUAACAACUUAGUUAAGCAAAAUAUUUAGAAUUAUAAGGAUAUUAAAUUAGUUUAGGUUAAAAUAUAUCCUUAGUGAUUAUUUUUUUUAUAAAAAUUUAAGAUUUUAAUAUUUUUCCUUAAAAAGUUAAUAAUUAAUUUCUACUAUUUUUUUUUGUUUGUUUACAAAAUUUUAUUAUAAUCAUCUACAUUAUUAGUAUUUUUUGUCAAAAUUUUCUUAGUAUAAGGCAUGUGUAUUGGAUCCUUAAUGAUUUGCUUCUAAAGUUGGUAUGAUUACGUAGAUGUAUUGAUGAUAAUUUUUAAUGUGCUAGUAAUAUUUUCAACAAUAGACAAUGUUGUAAAAAUCAAAUCAAAUAAGUGGUUCAAUUAGUCAAACAAUUAAUUUUCAGUUUAAUCGAUUAAGCCAUCAAUUCAAUAAUAACUAAAUAAAAAUAAAAAUUUCAUAAAAAUAUAAAAAAAUCAUAACUGACCACUAUUUUUUUGUUUCAAAUUUUUACUGAUUUAUAACUAUUUACUCUAAUUUUUAAUUAUAUAUCACCAAUUGGACAACUUAAACCACCGAUUUUCAAUUUAACCAAUUUAUCGAGUCUAGUUGCGAGUUGUGACAACAUUAAUGAUCUUUAAAUUGAAACAAACGAUGAUUCUAUUUUCAACCCUUUUUAAGUAUAAGGAUUAAAUAUCAAGCCUCACUGAAGCACAGGGACUGAAAGCGAAAUUUGACCAUUGGUUAAUACCAUAGAUUAGGAUUACUCGUCCAAGUUUCUAACUUUCUACGAAAUCAUCAAAUUCCAAGAAAACAGACUUGUCUAGUUUUUACUACCAAACAGAAACCUCCAUGUGGCAACCCAGAAAUUGGGCUAUUCAGCCAAUCGCCACCAGCCAUUACUGACCCUCCAAUUCCCUUCAACCAUCUUCUUUUUCUCAUUUCUCCAUCGCAUCCAUGCUUUUCUUCGGCUCCACCCUAAACGCAGGCUGAGAUUUCCUCGAAUUUAACACAGUAAUUUUCGAAGCCCAUUUUUUCCCACAAACAAACCAUCAUGAACAACUAAACUAGUAUUUGCUAACAAAAUCCAAUUCAAGGAUUCAUCCUCAAGCUUUGAAAACAACCAACAAAAAAGGUAUGCCAUCUCCAAUCUUGCCCAUAUCCAGCCACCCUUCCUCCUCCGCAUCGGCAGCCACAACGGUGGUCAAAGCUAAGAUCGAUGCUGACCCAUCGGCCACCAUCCUCAUUUCGUCAAAAUUCGAUCCUGAAAAGGCUAUUCCUAUUACGCCUGUCCUACCCAGAGCUUCGAGUUACAAUUCCACAAGCAAUGUUAACAACAAUAUUGUUUCUUUUGCCAACAACCAUCAGCAGAGAUUUCUCCGGACUUCCAGUGAUAGCUCGCUCGCUUUGCUAGCCGAUGAGACUCCCCGCCAGUCUAUAAGCCGGGAAGUGGGCCAUGUUGCUGCCGAGACGUUUUACCUUUCUGGAUUAUGUUUGAAGCUCCUUAGUUAUCUCGGGUGCGAUUCUUUUCCUGUGUAUUGUUAUGAUUAUAUAUGCUUGGUCUUGGAAUCUUUCUCAUAGAUUGAGAGGCAUGCAUGAAUUUGAUACCUGGGCUUGAACUGUGUUCAUUUGAUACCUGGAGCUGUAAGGGGUGUUAACUUUUAUGUUAGUGAUUGAUGAACAUUUAUGUAAAAGUCCCUGCACUUUGACUCUGCAUUUCUUUAGGUACUUGUAUCUUUUCAAACACAUGAGUAUGGGGAUAGGGAUAUGAUACUCCAAAUAUAUGGACAAGCUUAGGAAAACACUCAUUGUCAGUUCCAAGUAACUUAGUGUAUUACAUUGGAAAAUCGAAUGAUGAUUAUUGAUGAAGCUUUAUUCCUGCUGUUAAUUAACACCCAUUCAAAGUUUUCAAUGAAGAAAUGUUGCACUUUAACUUUAGGGAAACCGAAAAGAAUCUUUGUCUUAUAGCUAGGACAAAAGUGAAUAGAGAUGGUUAAGCUGAAAUUGAGGGUAUUCUUUUUGGCAGUAUCAGGAAAUGAAUUAGUUAGCUGACUAGUGAAGAUGUAGGAACAGAGUUUCAUGCGUUGUAGUUCAAGAAAAAUCUUGAUGAAUGUGAGUAGAAUAUACAUGAGUUCUUUAAGGAGAUAUUAUUAUUUAACAAACUCAACCUUUGGAGUUAGUUGAAAGAGAUAUAUAAGUACGUUCAUACAUGAGGCUUCAAACUUCAAGAUCAGUGUGCCUUCAUCAUUUUUAUGUCGCUCAAGGACUUGGAGUUUAUUAUUAUUAUUUUAUUGUCAGCUGAGCUGCUAAUAUGACUUUUAUGUUCAACUUUUCUAUGAGAUGUGUCCUAAUCGUUGACUAUUUUUCAGGGUAGGCUAUAGAUGGAUCACAAGGUUCCUUGCCCUUGGUUGUUAUGCUAUGUUGCUCAUGCCAGGUUUUAUUCAAGGUUAUACAUAUAUUCAUAUUUAUUUAUUGCUGUUUUUUUUAAUUGUUGCUUUUACUACUUGCUGUUUGCUUUAGUAGAAAAAAGGAAAAAGAUGCAUUUGGCUACGAAAACAAACUACCUUCUUGAUUAAUGUAAACUAAAAUGUAACUUCUUUGAAAAAAAAGUGCACAUGUUAAGAUUUAUAUGGAACAAUCAUGUUAGAUUUUAGUCAUUUUUAAUCAAUUAUGAUUUUUCUUUAUAGCAAUCUUCUUGGAAGCAAAGGCAAAGAGUAAAAGUCAGAACCAAACAAAACCAUAAUUUGAGACACUGCGUUUCUUUGUUCAGUUUACAUUUGACUUGAUGGAUCUAAAAUAGCAUAAUGAGUUACUUUUCCUUUUUGCAGUUGCUUUUUACUACUUCUUCUCCAGACAGGUCCGUAGGAGCAUAAUAUAUGGUGAAAAGCCUAGAAAUAGGUAAAGUUGAUUGUCUAUUUCUUUUGCAUUUCCAAGCGGUUAGUAUGUAUGCCCUUGCAAUUGUAUUGUAAUUUCAGGCAUCGAUAACUCAAAUUUUGUUUGCAGGCUUGAUCUUUAUUUGCCUAAAACCAGCCAGGGGACAAAACCCGUGGUAGCUUUUAUAACCGGUGGGGCUUGGAUUAUUGGGUGAGCUAUUUGUCAUAUAUCUGGACCGUAGUAGAAAUUCUCAAUUGUAGUGGCAGACUGCUCUCCUUUGAGUUUUAUUGGAAAUUAAAAGCUUCAAAUUUGUUGUGUGAUCAUACUGAAAGAUACUGAAGAUUCUUAGAAUGAAAAGUAACUCAUAUAAUCAGUAGGGAAAGUAUAACCUCUAAUAUAGUAAUUCCUUUUUUCUUUUACCGUUGCCAAAUCAAGUUCUGAUGAUUCUCAAAGGCCUAUGGCUACUCUUUCUGUCAUUAUACCUGUUUGGCUUCUUAUUUGGUUUAUGCUUGCUGAUUUAUCGUUGAUUUGCUUCAUAGAGCUCUUUUCUCUUAAUGCAGUUAUAAAGCAUGGGGUUCUCUUUUAGGUCAACAGUUAUCAGAAAGAGACAUCAUAGUGGCAUGCAUAGACUACAGGUAAAAUAUGUCACUUUAAGGCAAUGACAUUUUGUUGUAGAGAUGACACUAUUUUACUGGAUCGAUAACCAUUGUUCUUGAUUAAGUUUCUCUGAUUGACCUCCUUACCAUAUAAUUUUUACAGUAUAACUGUUGUUAUAAGCUGGCCCUUUGAGCAUCUUAAGAAUUGCGUAUAGAAGCCUUCAUGAUCUGAUGACUGCAAAAUUUAACCUUUUCUUAACUUUUAUCAUCAGCUGGGCUCAUGUUUAGAUCACGUUAUUUACAUUUUUUUUUCUUGGCUUGUUUAGUUUUGAAGCUCAUAUUGGGGAAAUUAUUUGCCUAUUUAAGGCAUGAAUGAUCUUUUAAUACAAUUUCGUUAUCUUACCUUCACUUGGUCUGACCUAAAACUUCUUCAAAAUGUUUUACCUGUUUGUUUUUGUCUCAUUGGAGAUAUCUAUGUGGUGACUUUCACUAAUGGUUUUGUCAUUUGAAAUGUCUUUGAUGCACUUUUACAUAUCUAAAUGGCUGCAUUUUUUUCAAGAUAUUUUGUUUUCCAUCUAAAAUGACUAUAAUCUCCAUUUUUUCUACAAAGCUGGCAAGCUAUAUUUUGAUAAAUGGUUCUGAAUGCAAAAUUUAGCACUUCUCAAUGAAUAUUUCUUGGGGUAAUAUGUAAAUUCAUAUUGUUUGAUUAGUUGCAACAUAACCACUUCAUGUGGUUUAAGUCUUGAUAUUAUUAGUCAGUCCAUUAAUAUUAAGAGAUCCUGUUGGUUACCGUCUUAAAUUUAUGCUUGAAGUGUUCUUUUUCUAAUAGUUCAAUCUGCUUGCAGAAAUUUUCCACAGGGUACAAUAAGUGACAUGGUGGAGGAUGCUUCUCAGGGCAUCUCAUUUAUUUGCAAUAAUAUUUCUGAAUAUGGAGGUGAUCCCAACAGGUAUAGGAUUAGUAAUAUUCCCUUUUUUUUAAUUUGUAUCAUACUGAUUAAUAUUCUAUUCAUGGUUUGUCUUGCCAGGAUUUAUCUUAUGGGGCAAUCAGCUGGUGCACAUAUUGCUGCUUGCACACUUGUAAACCAGGCAAUCAAAGAGACUGGCGAAGGCGACAGUGUUUCUUGGAGUGUGUCCCAGAUAAAAGCUUACCUCGGUUUGUCUGGAGGGUAAUUAUUAAAAAUUUUAUAACCAUGGAACUUAACCAGCAUGGACUCUUAUUUUCUUCGUUACCAUGAAUCUGGUCUUGAAACUUUUAACUUCAUAUUGAAUAUAACUUUCACAAUAAUAAUGGAAUCAGUUCUGAUUUCAAAUUUGACUCAAAGAUAAACCGUAUUGAUGUAUUUUCCUCAAUUCAUGUGGCACUAUUUUCUUCUGAAAGGUUAUAAUCAAAGCAUUAUAGUGUCUUAUAUUAGGGUGGAUGAUCUUUAAUAGCUCUCAUUAUGGCUCAUGUCUAUCUUUUGGUUCCUUGCUAAAUGCAUUAAGUUUUUUACCUUCUCAUUGCCCCUUCAUUUAGUGCAUUAGCUAUUUGGAAUGAACAUUUGUUAUGUUAUUAUAUACAAAACAUGCAAGUAAAUUUUGAUGUAAUAAAGCAAUUUCCUUUUUGUGUAUAUUCAUUGAUACUCAAUUACCAUUAAUGUUCCCCAACAGGUACAAUCUUUUUAACCUCAUAGAGCACUUUCAUACUCGAGGUUUAUACCGUUCGAUCUUUUUAAGGUAAGUUGGUUCUAGGAAAAGCUUGUUUAGAUACAUUCUGUGUUUGUUUCCCUCAAUUGAAGAAUCGUCCCUGCAUUUUCAUACAGCAUAAUGGAAGGGGAAGAUUCUUUGCAUCAGUUCUCUCCUGAAGUUCUGGUGCAGGACUCAGACGUUAAGCCUGCUGUUUCUCUCCUUCCUCCUGUCAUUCUUUUUCAUGGUACUGCAGAUUAUUCUAUUCCUGCGGAUUCCAGGUUUAAAUCUCGUCCUCUCAAUCCAUAAUUCUAAAUGUUUGUUCCUUUGUCGUUAAUAAUUAUAUGUGCAUACAUGGAUAAGGCCCUUGAUAAUCAUCAUAGAUUACAGCAAUACUACUUUUCAUUUUCUUCUUCUGCAUCUAGAUUGUUAUGAUGUUGCUAUGUAGUGAUUGUUGAAUGACUAGGUCACAGCUGAUUCAAAAGCAGAUUUCUUAUAACAAGUUUUCCUUCUCCUUGCAGUCAAAAUUUUGCUGAUACGCUUCGAAGAGUUGGAGGGAAAGCAGAAUCCAUAUUGUAUUAUGGAAAGACUCACACAGAUUUGUUUCUUCAGGUAAUGGAAGAAGUAACCAUGCUUUGUGUUUUGUUUGAUUUUAGGUGAAUUUUGUAUAAUAUUCUGCCAACAUACAUGUAAAAUAAAUAAUCAGGAUCCCAUGAGAGGCGGCAGAGAUGAGAUGUUUGAAGAUGUUGUUGCCAUCAUACAUGGUGAAGAUGAAGCAGCCCUUGCAAAAGAUGCCGUGGCGCCUCCAAGAAGACGCCUUGUACCUGAGUUCAUGUUGAAAUUGGCUCAUGAUGUCAGCCCUUUCUAGCCAUUCAUCAUCUGUUACUCUCAGAUGCUAUGAAAAUGAAUUGUAUCCAUGACUAUAACAUUAAUAUAACAACAGCGGAAGUAAGUUUGUAGAUGAUCUUUACCAGGCCUUUUAUCCCCCCUUCAAAUUCUAUCGCCCUUACUGCAUUCUUUUCAUUUAAUCCUAUUUGAUAUCUGUCGAAACCAUUUUUGAAAACAAAAAUUAGUUGUCGACUUAUUUUAAAAAAUGUAAAAGUUGGAGUCGCCACCAAUCUUUUAUUGAGGUGUGAUUGAAUCACCUAAAAACAAUUUUGGUCUACGAAUUUUAGAAAAACAGAUUUGGGAGUCAGUUACGUACGAGGAAGGAUUAGCACCCUCGUAACGCCCAAAAUUGGUACCGAAUUAAUUAUUUAAUGUCUUAAGGUCGAAUGAAUCAGAUUUAAAAAACGAUUCUCCUUUUAAAAUCUUUAUUGAAAUUUACUAAUUUGAAAACUAAAAAUAAUUUGGUCAUCUUGUUUCUAUGAAGAAAUCGAAACCUUGUAAGUUAAGGUACGAUUCUUUGAAAUUUUGAUAACCACACACCAAUUUGCUUUUGUUUGAAAAAAAAUCUCGUCUCGAGAUAACAAAAUGUCGCAUCCUGUGAGUUAGGACACAACCCUUUGAAUUCCCGAGAGUGAAUUUAAAUCUUGAAAUGUUUACAAUUUUAUUGAAAAAGGAUAUUCAGCUAUUUAAAUUCAAUGAAAAGAAUUGAAGCCUAGUAAGUUAGGGCACAAUCUUCUCGAGAAUCUUAAACGCAGAAUAUUUUAAAAAUUUAUGGAUAAAAUGACUUCGGUAGUUUAAACAAAUCAAUAAUAUAUUUAAAGAAUGAAAGUACUUUAAUAAAAAAUGUACAUGUAUAUAUAAAACAAUAUUAUAAAAAACUUUCAUAUAAACCUUUAAAACAUAAAAAACAUAUAUAAAAUGAAUUUUUAAAAAACAUAUACUACAAAAUAAAAAAAAACAUAAAAAAUAUGCAUUAUAUUGGAUUUUAAAUAAAAUAAUACAUUAUAAGAUAAAAUAAUAACAUAUGACAAUAAUAUAAAUAGAAUAAAAUUAUGUAUGUAAAAAGGUUAGAUCAAUAUAAAUAUAAUAAUAGUAGUAGUAAUAAUAAUAAUAAUAUUAACAAUAAUAAUAGUAAUAAUGAAGCUCAAGAAUAAAAAUAAAACAAAGUAAAAAAGCAUAAAAAAAACGAUGAAAAAAACUAAAGGAGUAAAUAAAAAAUAAAUAAAUAAAACACAAAACAAAAUUAAAAAACAAGACGGAGAAAGAAAAACAAAAAGCUAAAUUGCCCUCGAAAUAUAAAAAAAAUUAAAAUAAAAUAGGGCUGAAAUUAUCUAUAAAAAAAGGCAAAAGGACUAAAUUGAAGUUUAAUAAAAAAAAGGGGUAAAAAUCGAGAAUAAAAAAAAUAAAGGAGAGGGCCCAAUUGAAAGGCACAGAUAAUUUAAAGGGACCCAUCAGGGAAAUAACCCCCCCAUCCUCUGAAACACGCCACUUGUUAGGGCCAAAUUGAAAAUGGAAUAAAAUCAUAGGUAUAAAUAUAAAAAAAAUAAAAAGGAUUGGAUUGAAACAAUUGCAAAAUGCGGAGGGGUCUAAUGCGCCAAUAGACCAUCAAAGCCAAAAACACGCGGAUCCUCCUCCUAGGUCGGGUCAUUGCGCGGGUCAAGGGUAUGAAACGACGCCGUUUUGGGCAUCAGAAGCCAAACCCAAAACGACGUUGUUUUGGGUAUUUAUAUAAGUAAAAAAACUUAAAAAAACAUUUGCAACCCCAUUUUAAAAAAAAAAAUUCUUUUUUUUCUCUCAACUCUCUCUCAACCCUUCAAACUUUUUUCCAGAAUCCGGCCAUGUCUCCGGCGCCGGACCACCGCGGCGGCCGUCGAUCGUCGGCGACGGCGCCACCGUUUGCGGUUGCCGAAAAAUUUAAAAAAAAAAUAUUUUUUUGUUUUUUAGCUCCUGGCCUUAAAAAACACCGAUUUUCAUCGGAAUCGGCACCUCCCUCUCAAAAAGGUAUGAUUUUUCCCUUUUGUUUUUAUUUUCCUUCGAAAUAAAUAAAUAAAUAAAAAUAAACCGAAAAAAAACUACCUUUGAAAAAGGUUUGUACUUGAAUCGAUUUUGCUCUAUUCUCUUUUCAUUCAUUCGUGUUUUCCCCCUCAAUAUACAUAGAUUCGGGGUUUUUAUAGCCCAAAAUUUCCUAUUUUCUCUAUUUUUUACAUUGUUUGAGUUGUUGUUGGAUUCUCCUGAUCCUUUUGCAGGUACACACGUGGCGGCUCGUGCGGAGAGGCGGCGCGAACGGAGGCCGGUUCUGAGUUGUGUGGCAGUUGGAGUUGGGGGCGGCGGCUGCUGAUUUCUUUAGGGUUUCUUGCUUUUCUUUGUUUGUUUCUUUUGGGCUAGGGUUUAGUUAGGUUAGUUGGGUUGUUUGGGUAUUGGGCCUGCUGAUGUAAUUUGGGUUUAUUAAUUGGGUUUGUAAAAAAACAGGGCAUUUAUUUUAUUUUGGUCUUUGUAUUUUAAUUGGGUUUAGGCAAAAUAGGCGUAUUACCAUAUCUUUUAACAUGGGUUUGAGAACAAGACAUGAAAAUUAAAUUUAAGUUUUUAAUUUAAGUUGAGUAAAUGGAUUGGAUUGUUUCUUACUUACAUAGAGAUGUGUUUGUUUAUAAUAUAAAUUAGGGUUAAUUGCACCAAUGUCCCCAAACCGUGGUCUAGAUUCUAAAAUGCUCAUCAAACUUAAAAACAUUUUAAUUAAAUCCUCAAAAUACAAUAUGAUGUAAAACAUGUUUAAAAAAGAGUCAACUUUUAAAUAUAUAUAUAUAAGUCAAGCUAAUAUUUAAUACUUAAAUAGAUAGUUAAUUGAUACAAUAUUAAUAUUUGAAGAUCCAAUUAAAAUAUUUUGAGGUUUUCAAAUCAAUUUAACAUCUGAAUCAUAAGUUUUAGGCAUAGUGAAUUUAAUACCCUUUUAAAAUUUUAUAUCUUUACAUAUUUCAAUCUCUCUUUUAAAAAAAGGUUAAAUAUUAUUGUUUUCAUAUCUAGAUCGAUUGAGAUAUUAAUCUGAAUCAAUUAACUUGUAAAUUUUUAAUAAUUUAUUUAGAUAAACCGGUGCAACUUCCUUCCACAAUAGCAUCCUAACUACGAAGAACGUUAUCAGUGACGACAGAGAUAGACAAAGACAAAAAACAGAAGUCAAACUAGCGAGUUAAAACCAGCCCACCAACAAAGAAAGAUGACUGGGCCGCCCACUUUCCCUUACAUUUUGAUAAUAUAAUAUAUUAUACGCCACGUUUGGCUGCCUAAUUGCGUUGUCCCCCCACUCUCCCUUCUCUUUAUUACUAGUCCAGAGAACCCACCAACUGAACUGUCAUUCGAGAUGGAGGAAACACAGCCCGUGCCACGAGUAGGUGUAGUGCUGUUCGUGUUGAAGGGGAAAUCGGUCCUCCUGGGUCGCCGCCGCGCCUCUAUCGGUGAAUCCACCUUUGCUCUCCCCGGCGGCCACCUCGAGUUUGGUCCGUCUCUCUCUCUCUCUCACCUCACAUCUCUACUUGUUUCGCUUUCAUUAAUUAAAAAAAAAAGGGCAAAAUAAUUGUUGGCAGGUGAGAGCUUCGAAGAGUGCGGAGCCAGAGAGUUGAUGGAGGAGACGGGCUUGGAAAUGGGGAAAGCAGACUUCUUAACAGUGACCAAUAAAGUCUUCCUGGACAAAUCCAAACGCUGCCAUUACGUCAUCGUCUUUCUCCGUGCAGUGCUGGCGGACCCUAAUCAAGUUCCACAAAACCCGGAGCCAGACAAGUGCGACGGCUGGGAUUGGUAUGACUGGGAUAAUCUGCCCCAACCUUUGUUUUCGACGCUUGACGAAAUGGUACGAAGUGGCUUCAACCCCUUUCCCUCCACUUGACAGCUGCUGAAUGAAUACGUUUUCUUUUCUUAUAUAUUGCUUGCGUAUAAUUGAUCCAUGGGUUACUUUAAUUUCAUCAUGAUGUAUUCAGUGACCAAUGUUGUUUGUAAUAUGAACCUUAGAUGGUGAACUUUUAUGGUUUAUAUUAUGUAGCUAAGUGAUUUCAAGAGUCAAAUUUGCAUGGAUUUUUGGUUCUUGUUAUCUGGAUUUUAAGAUAUAUGCAAGGUAGUGGAGUUUUAAUGUAUUUAACAAAUGCAAACUAGUAGCUUCCCUUUAAUUAAGAAAAAAUAGAUCUUCUUUCUGAAGGGAAAGGUGUACCGCUAGGUGGAAUUGUAAGGAGGUUGAUAUUUUUAAGCAAGAUUUGGGAUUCAAAUAUGGUGGACGAAGAAAAUAAUACUGAGAGCACUUUACUCUCUAUUUAGUGGUCUGACUUGGCUCGACUCUGAAUUUAGUCGAAACACAAUAUGACUAUUGGAUAUUAGACAAAAAAGAGUAAAAUUGAAAACCCCUCGUAAAUUUCAUGAAUGCUGAGAUGCUAAGUUGUUAUUAUAUAUGGGCAGAAUCAGCAACUUAUGCUAAUUCUCACUUUGCUCCUCCUGUAAUGAAGCAAAUGUCCUCGUUACCUUUGCUUCAGAAACUCAUUUUCCCAGCCGUUGGAAAUGUUUCGAGUCUUCAUUUUUCUUAGAAGUAUCUGUUUCCGAUAUAACCCUUCAAAGACCAUUUCAAUACAUGAUAAAACCUAAACAAUGAAAUGAACAUAUUUUGUGGGGAUACAUACUCGGUACUAACACUUGAAUCCAAGUAUUCUACAAACCCUUACAUUUUGAUUGUUGUUGAUUGCUGUUUGUUAUGCUUCACCACUUAAUAUUGUGCUCUUCUCUUGCUGGUUUCUUUCUAUUUUAUUUGUUCAUCUAAUUGUUUCCAUUUAUGAAUAAAUAGACGCAUGGAUUGGAAAAGUUUACUUACUGUUGCCCUUGGACUUGCUGUUCUGCACAUCUCAGGGAGGGCUAGCAGUCCCUUUUAACUUAACCAAGAGGAGUGAGCCAUAGAAACAUGCAUUGCAUAUGCAUUUGCAUUUGCAUUUGCAUUUGCGUACCAAAAUUAAAUUAGUGCCCAUCACCUAAAAUCCUCAUCGUUUGGCCCAAUUUCCACCCCAAAGCUAAGCUACAAUUGGGGUAAGGUGAAGGGCCAGUUCUUCAUUGUUUAAAAAAAACAUUUCUGACUCUAAAAGCACUUUUGAAAAAAAAGCUGUGCAGAACAAGUUGCUUUUGGCUGAAAUUUCUAGCUUUUCAGAAGUGCUUUUGAAAAGCAAUUCUGUAAAGGAGCUGAAAAGGAGAAGCUAAAAAUUUUAGUUUUUCUUCCUCCAAAAGUACUUUUGGUGCUUAAUUAUUUUUUCACCCCUCUAAUAACAUAGUAUUUUUUUCUCUUGGUGCUUAAUUACAAUUAUGUUAAAAUUAUUAAUUAAAAAUAAAAAAAAUAUUUUUUAAAAUAUUAAUUACAAAUAUUUAAUGGUUAUAUUUAAAUAUUUAAAAUACAGUUUAUAUAUUCUAAUUAAAUUUUAUAAAUAAUUAAUAUUUAUUAAUUAAAAAUAUUUACAAUUUAUAUUUUAUAUAUUAAAAUAUUAACAAGUUAUAAUAAUUUUUUUAUAUUAUUACUAAAAUAUAAUAAUAUUAACUAAUUUAAAUAUGAUUUAAAUACAUAUUUGUUACUUGAUAAUAACAUAUCAAAAAUAGACAUUUUAUUUCUCAAAAGUACUUUUUGACAGCAAUGCUAAACACUCAAAUUUUAAACCAAAUUUUUCAAAAGCACUUUUCAAAAUCACUUUUCUAAAGCACAAAAGUACUUUUCAAAAGAAAUGAAGAAUUGACCCGAAGUGUAAUUCUACAUAUCUAUGGCAUCAUCCAUCAAUGAGUGCAUUGGAAGAACCAAAUUACCACAUGAUUUGUUCUUCAACACAAAGCAAUUAAUCCUUUUACACUAACCAACCUCAUUAGCUGAAAUUUGCUUUCUAUGUUGUGCUGUGCUGUGCCGUGCCGUUGCAGCUACUCAUAUGUUCCCUUGAAAUAUACAUACAUAUAUAAUCAUGAAAAAAUAUAUAUCUAAAACCCUAAUGUUGAUAUCAGUUAUUGUCUUGGGAUUAUUAUAAUACUAUUGUCCCUAAUUUACUAAUAUACAUUUAAUUACAAGCACAAUCUCACACAUAUAUCAUCAAUAUAUAUGAUCUAAAAGCUAGCAAUUAAGGAUUACCAAAUAUAAUCAGAUGAAAGAAAAGAAUAAUAAAAUAAAGUCCAUAUAGUAACCUGUUUUUAUUUCCUUCUUUGAUCUGAAAUAAUAUAUAUGAUCAUCAUUCAUUCAUCAAUGAUGCAAUGGGUUCGGACCAGUUGGUACGAGGCGCUUUUCGACGCCGUAGCGCGGAUCAACCUCAUUAUCGGCCGGCUUGGUUUGUUUCUUGGCUUGAUCUGGUGCUUGAUCUUGAUGCUUCUGAAACGGAGUGAAGUCAAAUUUGGCAGCAGCAACAGCUUUUCUAGUGAUGAAAGGAUUACGAUGAGAAGAAAGCAAGGAAAAGGUUGUGGGGUUGGGUUGUUUACCACUGGUAUUGGUAUUGAAAUUGAAGUUGAGAAUGUUUUGGAAUUCAUGAAGCCAUAACAAGAGAAGAGAGAGCCAAAGAAUGGUGAAGAUGAGCAUGUGGGAUACUUUCCAAGCCAUGCAUGGAGAAUUUUGAGGUAGCAUAAGGGCCUGAAGGGGAAGCAUGCAUGGAGCAAAAAGUACGGAAAACCCCAAGGAAGAGAUUUUAAUUGUACAUGUAUCGGCCAAAAUAUAGUGAAUGGGAAUGGGAAGUGGAAGCUGGAGGAAAUGAAGGUUGAAAAACUGUGGAUUUGGUAUUUGAAUUUUAAUUUAUUGGACAAGAUACAAGGGAGAUUGGAGAGGGAGGGGGAAACACCCUUUCCCAAUGAAUGUUUUCUUAGAAAUCAAGGGAAAAAAAGGGUCAUUAAUUAAUUAUUAGUAAAAGAUUGUCAAACCUUGAAUGAUAUCAAGUUUGAUAAUGGUUAUUAUUACAAGAUCUUUGAGGCAAAGGAGUUAAUAAUGAAUAAAAUGACAUAUUUAUUUAUUAUCAGAGAGUGCAAGAUGGUGUAGUGGUAAAAUAUAUUGUAUUAUUAGCAGAUAAUUCAGGUUUAAAUCUUAGAGAUAAAGUUGUUGAAAUCGAAUUAGAUUGAUUGAAUCACGAAUAUGUACGAAUCAUUUUGAAUCAGGAUAAAAAAAAUUGAUUGAGCCAACGGUUGAAUUGGAUUAUAUAAUUUUUAUGAAUUUUAAUAAUUUAUUUAAUUGAGACCAAACUAAUCAAUCGGAUUAAGAAUUGAUGACUGCUAAUCUAAGUUUAAAAAGAAAGUUUAAAAAGGAUGUUUUUAUAUUAAAUUCCAUUGAGAGUAGAAUGGACAUGAAGGGUAUAUUGAAUUAUUGAUUUGUUUUGAAAUUCAUGAUGGAUGCUGAUGCUGUUUUUGAGUGAAUCGCAACUAAUGAAAAGGGUGGGGAUUGUGCAAUCCACAUUUUCUACGGACAAAGCAAUGUAUUAAACAGUUUCAGCAACGAAUACCAAAAAAAGACAGAAAUACAUGAAUUCUCUUUUGUAAGAACAAUUAAUUGGCUUAUUUAAACAGGUUACUUUUCUUCUUACAUUCAUUUGAUUUUGAGUUUAUUGAAUCCUUAAACUUCAAAUAAUUUUUAUUACAUUCUUAAACUAUCAAUUAGAUUUAAUUUAUAAAUGACACUUCAGAUCUUAUGUGAUAUAAUUUAAAAUGAAAAAUUUAGGAAAAAAUAUGAUAAAAAUAAAUGUUUCAAGGUUUUUGAAACUUUUAUAAAAGCUUUAUUGUUUACCUUCUUUUUUUAGUUUUUACUUUUCAAAUUUAUGCGACAAUGUUAUAUUUCUUUAAAUUUUUCAUAUUAAAAUUACCUGCAUAAGAUUUGAUAUAUCCUUUAACUAAAGAAAGGACCUAAUUAAUGUCACAUUGAUAGUUCAAGAUGUAAUUACAACAUUUUGAAGUUUGAGAAACCAAUUUAAAAUUAAAAUCAUAUUUUAGGGAUGUUUAUGCGAUUAACUCAUAUUUUUUAAAUAAAGAAUAAAAAUAUAUAUCAUAUUUAAUGUAAAUGAUAUUUAAAAUAAAUAAUAAUUUAUGAAUAGAAAAGGUUGGAAUCAUAAUUUUUUGGGCCAAUAGUAUAGUAUUAUAAAAAAAGUAUCUUUGUACAAUGUUUCAAAGAUGAACAUAUUAUAGUACUGUAUGUUAUAAGUCUUUAGUAUUUUGAUUAUUGCAACACUGAUAUAAACUAGCCUUUGGUAUUGCAUGCAUUGCACGUGAAUGUACGCAUUUAUAUUUUUAUUAUUUUUGUACAAUAUUAAAUAUGUAUGUUUGUACAAUGUUUAAAAGAUAGACAUGUUGCACAUCUAUACUUUUCAUCUAUAUAAAAUUGAUGAAAAUAACAUAAGAAAAGUGCUUGGCAAAAGGGGCCAAGGGAUUGGGCACUUCUUCAAGCAUUGCAAUAAGUAGAAUAAAACAGGGGACAUAAAGAUUGUUUACGUAGUUCGGUUUCCGUACAUCUGUGGAGUUUAGCUCAAUGCAAUAUAUUCAAUAUUUUCAUCACUUACACAAAGUGAACCUGUAACAUCCCGAUUUAGGGCUUAGUCGGAACAGUGGUUUCGGGACCACAAAUCCGAUGAGGAAAAAUUAUUUUUACUAUAUUUUUAUGGCCUACAAUUUCAUGGAAAAAAUUCAUGAAAAUUUCGUUAAUAAAUUUUGACGUUUGGGCACUCAAUUUAGUCAAAAGGACUAAAUUGUAAAAAGUGCAAAAUUUGAGUUUUAUAUGUUAAAGGUAUUUAAUUGUUAUGGAACUAUAAAUUAGGGGUCCUUAUAUGGUAAUUAGACAAUUAGUUAGUGAUGGACAAAAAUGGACAUGAGAUAAGUGAAAUAGGAUUUUUUUAAGUAAGGGCAUUUUAGUCAUUUAGUAAAUAAAUAUAAUUAAAAGGGAAAAAGAUGUAAAAAUUGUGUUCAUCAUCCUUUCUUGCUAGGGGUGAGCAUUCGAUCGAAUCGAAUCGAAAAUUUUCGAGUUAAUCGAGUUUUCGAAUCUCAUUUUAUCAUCCUAACUUUAUUUGAAGUUUUCUCGAAUCGAGUCGAGUGAGAUGAAAUUCGAAUCGAAUAUAUUUGUUCGAGUUAAAUUUUAAAAAAUAAUUUUGGGUCAUUGUAACUAUUGUCACCCAUCGUAAUAAAAUUUGACCACCUUAAUCAAAUUUUUUAUUAACUUUCAUCACCUCAUAAUUUAUUUAUUAAUUUUUUAUAUACUGGUUAGCUUCUUUGCUUGCUUAGUUGUUUCAAUUAUCUUCAGAUUCUUGUCAUUAUGUUUUUCGGAAUUAAAAAAUAUAUUAAAUGUAAAAACAUGAUUUUUUUAAUAAAAGUUAUUUUAAAAAUAAAAUGUGAAAUUGAUACCAAUAUAAAAUUUUAACAUGAAUAUUUUAUGGCAUAAUUAAUAAUUCAAUUUUAAUAUAAAUAUUCAAUAUGACUAAACAAUUCAAUAAUAUAAAUAAUAUAAAAUGGGGAAAUUAAAUUUUAAUAAUAUAAAAUAGGUAGAUAUAAAUAAAAUUAUUACUAUUUAUGCUUAGUGAUUUUUUUUGGAUAAUUUUGAUUUUUUCUUUGAGAGUAAAGGGUGAGAAGUAAAAAUUUAGGGGGAAAAUAAAAAUUUUUGGGGAAUAAAAGUUUGAGGGAAAGUAAAUAGGGGGGAGUAAAAUUUUGGAGGGGAAAUAUUAAAAAAAAAUUGGAGUGGGGAGGGUUUGGGGUAGAUGGGAGGUGGGAUGGGAAGAGAAUAAAAGUUUUAGGAGAAAAGUGGGAGGGAGUAAAAAUUUUGGGGGAAAAUAAAAGGUUUUGAGGGUUUUUGGGAGUAAAAUUUUGAAAAAAAGUAAAUGGGAGAGUAAAAUUUUGGUGGGAAAUGAAUUUUGGGUAGAUUGGAGGGUUGGGAGGGGAGGGGAGUAAAAGUUUUGGGGGGAAGUGGGAAGGAGUAAAAGUUUUGAGGGAAAAAUAAAAAGGUUUGAGAAUUUAGAGUAAAAAUGUAAAAUAUUAUAGUUUAAUAUUCGAAUUAUUCGAAUUAUUCGAGUUAUUCGAAUUCGAAAACUCAACUCGAUUUGAAUUCGAAAUUUGAAAAAAAAGGUUCAAGUUGAUUCGAAUAACUCGAUUAACUCGAAUAACUCGAUUCGUUUAACUCGAAAUUCGAAUUUUUUUUCGAUUUUUUCGAGUCGAAUCGAGUUUUGCUCACCCCUAUUUCUUGCUGCCAAAAAUUGAAGGAAGCCAUAGCUAGGGUUUCUCACUUUCUCAAGCUCAUAGUAAGUGAUUCCAAGCCCUGAUUUUAAUGUUCUUUAUGUUUUUGAAGCCCUGGUAACUUGAUUUAGCUUAUUCUAGCAAUAAUUUAACUUAGGGUUCAUAUUUGGAAAAAUAUCCAUAGGUGAAAUAUGUUUAUUUUGAUGUUUUAUGGUAGAAUAUGAAGCUUGGAAUUAUGUUAAAUAACUUUUGCUUAGCGAUUUUAAGUGAAAACGAGUAAAACGACAUAAUCGGCAAAAAUACCUAAUGCUCAUAAGUAAGUGUUAUAGUAAGAAUUUGAUGUUGUCAUAGAAGGGAAAAAUGUUCAGAAUGUUAUAAAAAAAUAAUAAUAAGAGAUGAAGUUUAAUUUCCGAGCUUUGGGGCAAAAGUGUAAAUAUGUAAAAAUUUAGGGGCAAAACUAUAAUUUUGCCAAAAUUGAGUCAAGGACUGUUUUGAUGAAUGUGAGUAUUAAAUAAGCUAAAUUUUCUAUUAUAGAUCAAGAAGAACGAAAUUCGGAGCUAGACCGGGUAAAGAAAAAGAUUGAAGACUAAAGUGUUAGAUUUGAUCACAUUUUUGUACCGAGGUAAGUUUACGAUAAAUAAAUACAAUAUUUCAAUAAUUAUUAUUAAUGCUGCUAUUUUCCAGCAAUUAUGUAUUUAUUUUAUGAAAUUAUUUAAUGUUGAAUCAAGUAUGAGACGAUAAAGAAUUAGUAUUAAAAAGCCCCGUUGAAACAUUAGGAAUGUAUUGGAUACAAAUGUCAUGACAUUUGGGUAAAGAGAUCUCAUGUAAGACCAUGUCUGGGACAUGACAUUGGCAUCAUUGAAGUUAUAAGAGGUCCCAUGUAAGACCAUGUCUGGGACAUGGCAUUGGCACCGAGAUGAGAGGUCCCCCGUAAGACCAUGUCUGGGACAUGGCAUGGGCACCGAUAUGAGAACUCCCAUGUAAGACCAUAUCUGGGAUAUGGCAUUGGCAGUACAAGAAACAUCCCAUGUAAGACCAUGUCUAGGACAUGGCUUUGGCAUGUUAUUAUCAGAAAAGAGACCCAAGUAUCCUUAUUAUUCCAAUGUGACUCAACGGGCUAGUAAACAAAUUAUGUUCCAUAAAAGUUCAGGUAAAAGCAUAAAUAGCAAAUUCAGGUGAGUUAUAAGAGUUAAGAACAUAUUAUGUUAUCAAUUGAGAACCAACAUUUCAGCAAGAGAAGAGUAAGUUAUAAUCAUGAGUUAUCUAAGUAAACAAGUAAGUGAAUGAGUAAGAGAUUAAGUAAAGAGGAAAUUAGAGAUCAUGACACUUGAGUAUAUUUAUUUGUGUUAAAUGUUGUUAUUUAUUUGCUUGUAAACUUACUAAGCUUUAUGCUUACUUCCUUUAUUUCUUUUUCUUUCAUAUAGUAUUAUCAAGCAUAGUCGGGAUCUUGAAGACGUCGGAGAGCGUUCACACUAUCAACCACCACAACUUGGUAUUUUAAGACGAUAAAUGUUUCGAGCUAUGGCAUGUAUAGGGACUUAGUCAUUUCGAUUGUAUAUUCUUAAAUUAUGACCAAAAGAUGAUAUGUAAAUAUUUGAUGAUGAAUAGUUAUUAAAAUGGCUAAGUAUGAAUGUGUUUGUUGUUAUAAAAGUCUAGGUGAUAAAUUAUGCAUAGAAAUCAUGAAAAAGUAAAAAUUGGUAGUGAAUCAGUUUUGAGACAGCAGUAGUGAUGUGAAUUUGAAAAAUCCCCAAGAAUAGUAGAAAAUGAAUUAGAGGGUGGAUAAGAUAUAUAAUUAAAGAUUAUUGAGUCUAUUUUCAUAGAAAAAUAACAGUGUAGACAAAGGAAUUAUGUAUUCUGAGAUAUUUGCAUUUUGGUUAGACAAGGUCAAAGUGGUUUUCGGAAUCCCCUAUUAUGACUUUGGAAAAUCAUUAAAAAUUGUAAAAAAAUAGUUAUGAGUUGAAAUUUUAUAUGUAUAGAUUACUUAUUGAGUUUAGUUUCUGUAGAAACAAGUGAGAACACCAUAUGAAGUCUAUAAAAUGAGAUAAUUAAAUUUUAGUGAUGAGAGGUCAGGACAGUCAAUCAGUGAAACAUGAGAGGCUUUAACUAAUAAACUGUACUAAUUCGAUGAACCAAAAAUUCUGAAAAAUUUAUGGUAAAAAGAUAUAUGAGUCUAGUUUUAGGGAAAAUUUACAGAUCUAAAUUUUUAGUUUCGUAACUCGAGUUAUAAUUAAUUUAGUAACUGCUGCGCAGGUGGACAACUUUGUUGUGAAUAGUGAAAUUAAUUUCAAAAGUAAAAUUUUAUGCCCCGAACUUUUAAGUUAAGUCAAGUAAUGCCUCAUGCUCGACUCCGGCAACGGUCUUGGGUAAGGGGUGUUACAGAACCUAUAUCUAUCACACAACUAUGACAAUUUCCUCACCUUUGUACCUUAGAGAUUGAUACUCUCACCACUAAAUUCACCUUUUUGAAUUUAGCAAGAAAAACCACAACAUGUUUUACUAUCACAAUGCACUCAUAAAAUAAAAUUACUCAUCUGAACAGAUUAAGUGUUAUAUUUAUUUGUACAAUAACAUAUAUAAGUCUCUCAAUUAUAUAUAAUAUUUUGAGACUUGCUAGCACAAAAAAGAUUUAUCACAAUCCGUAUUAAACAACUACUAAAUAAGUUGAAUAUAGUAUAAUAAUAAAAAAUAAUGUAAACAAGGAAAGUUGGCAGCUAGUCCUUAAUGAUGCAAUCCAACUUUCUUAAUCCAAGGGAUUAGAUAAGAAUGAUCCAAUCCAAUUCAAUCAAAUCCUUCAUAUAUGUUUCCUCAAGUGUUAUGUUCUUUAUUGAUGGGCUAAAUACAUUCCACAAUAUCAGCAUAGCCCAAAAAUUCAAUUUAAUAAAUUGCUAAUAACUCAAGUAUGGAAACAGUCUAGACAGUUGCAGUUGGAUAGGGAGUGGGAGCUCCUUUAGGUACUCCUUCAGUCUUUCAUAUUUUUGAACAAUCUCUCAUUUGGAAAAUUGUUAAACAAUACUUAUACAACUCAAGAAGCUAUAUCAAUAAUUAACCUUAGUUCCCCCUUAGCUUAUUCUCCUUAAUUCCAAAAAACUUAACUUAGAUAAUAAUUAAGUGAAUUUAACCAUUAAUGAUAAAUUUGAAUUGUGCAUCAAUAAUCAACCAACCAUAGUUAUAACUAUGUAAGCUAAUGAAUCAAGGAAAAUAAAGCAAAAACAAUAAUAACAAUUCAUUCACCAUAAUCAUCAAAUGCAGUAUAAAAAAAUAGCAAAAUCAAGAGUAGCAACUAAGAUUGCAGUCAUCCCAAAAGAAAUUCUAAAAUAACAGUUCAAAAUCAAGUUCAAUCAAAAGCAUCAAAAGAAUUCUUGCUUAACAACUCACCUCCCCCUCAAUGGUUGCUUCUUAGCUGCACCAUCAUUUAUCCCCCUUUUUGAUUAACAAAUUUAACAAAAUUACUCAUCAAUAGAGAAGGAAAGAAGAUUAGCCCUCAGAGCCUUUUCCUUGUUGAUAAACUUUUUCACAACUUUAGCUUCUACUUGCGGUUUGUCACAAUGUAUGAUGGAAUUCAAUAUAUGAGUUGUGCUCAACAAUUAUCCUUUGUCCCAUGCCUGAGGGGAUAGAUUUGGUGCCUACAGCGAUUGGCAUUUCUUGAGAUGGGGCAUCUUCCUUUAUGCAUUGUCUAAAUCGAAACCUAAAGCUUCUUUUAUUGGUUCAUUCACAAUGUGAUUUCUGUCUAGCCAUUUAUGGGAAAACUUUAAUUCAAGUACAAGCUUCUUAAAUUACUUUGUAGUUUGAACAAUUCGAGGAUUUUGAUAGUAGAGAAUUUGGAAGAUAAGUGAGGGGUAAGGUAGAAAGAAAUUGUGAUAAAUCUUUUCAGCAAACUUUACUAAUUAAUUAAAGGUAAACUGACCAAGAUUAAAUUCAAUCAUCUUUACUACUUUACUACUUUUCUUAGUAACACAACCAUUCUCUUACUGAUAGAGUCCCUUUGGUUGUUGGGGAGCCAAUUUCUAGUGCUUAUAGCAAACAAAGCUAUAUAUACAGUAGAGAGUAAAGAGGCGUGUAGAGUACUUUUUUUAGGGUAGGUUUGAUGAAGAUUCUUUGUCAGGGUUGUUGUUUGGUCAAGAGAUUCAUCAAGAUCCACCAUGUUCAAAGUGAAGAAAUUUAAAACUUUUUUUUUAUUCAGUAGGACCAAAGUUGUACCAUUCACUACGAAUAAAAACUUUGUGAUAAAAGCUGAUGUCCUUAUCAACUAUGUUUUUGUUCAAACUAACAUAAAAUAAAAAUAUGGCAUUCUUAACAUAUGUCGUGACAUAAUUUACAAAGCCCAAAAGACCUACAUUCUGUAGGAGUACAUUAAUGCCAUGAUCAACAAAACCAUUCUCCUCAAUAUUCUACUUGUCGAUAAAAUACUUUAGGAUCAAGACAGUAUAUCUUUUGGAAUAUGCAACAUCCUAGAGUCCUCUCUUCUUAGUCUCCAAAAUUGUUUCUACUUGCUUCUUGGCAACAACAAUUACUUUAGAUAUGAGCUUAAGAACACCAACUUUCUUGAUUUUCUUUGUUUGAUGGGAGAUAGAGAGGGGGACAAUGAGAUGUUUAGUGACCACUGCCAAAUGUGCAAACAUUUGACUGAAAAAUACUACACUAAAAAGAUAAGAAAUAAAGCAGCGGUGUCUGCAAGUAUACGGGUCAAAUUGUAAUAUAAUAAUGUGUUACAACGGAACACAGGGAAAUAUUUCGAGGAUCUUACCCAAGGGAGAAUGAAUUAAAUCUAUUGAAAACCUCUUUACAAUAAUAAGCUUAAAUAGUAAUAAUUAAAUUAUAUAUAAUGAUAAAUCAUAAAAAAGAGUUGAGUAUAAAAAAUUAAAUAACUAAAAUAGAUAAAAAUAAAAUAAACAAACAGCUAAACCGAUUAAACCAAUCAGGAAGAUUAACUCAUUUUAGGGGUUGAAAUUAACUUCAAAAUCGGGUUUUGUUGUGUGUAAAUAACCAAUGCAAUUGUGUAAGUGUACAUGUCAUUCAAGUAAUAAAGUGAUAAGUAAGUAUCGUCUCUACAGGGAUAAAAAAUUGGUAAGAAAUUAGUUAAGUUAUUAUAAUCCUAUUAACUAUACUAAAUAACAGAAAAUACUUUUAAACUAAAUAAGAAGUUAGUAUAAUGAAUUAAUUUAUUUUAAUGUUAAAAACAAAAAAUUGAUAUGGCAAAUAAAAUGUAGUGGCAAAUUACCGAGAAAAGUAAGAGUAAUUCUAUUAUUGAAUGAACAGGGCUGGAAUUAUUCAAGUGAAAUGCUCAUAUCAAAAUAAUGUCAUGAAAAAAUAUUGUCUAAUCAACUGCUCAGAGAAUUACUACUGUAACCUGCCUCUUUCGAUAGCUAGAUUUAAGCUAGAAAUCUAAGUUACUAUAUGUCUACAGAAGUCUGGAUUAAUAACUGUAAUGAAUGAUCUUCUCUGCACAAUUCGUAACAUCUAUGUCUAGAGUGCUACGAGUAUUCUGUCGAAUAUUCACAUGCAUCACACGAUUCUAGAUCCAGUAAAUUGAACCUUUUCAGAAUUAAAAAAAUACAUCUAUGAACACAACAUACAAUUAGCUAUUUCUAGAGCUUGCAUGCAUGUAUUUAAAAUAGACAUAAAUUGAAUCAAACAGUGAUAUAGGCAAUUUCAAAUCAUGAACAUUAAAGAUGAUAAACAUCCAUCCAAAUAAUUCCAACCCAAAAAAGAUUUAGUUCAUGGGUGGAAAAUUAAACACCAAAUUUAAAUCAUUCAUCAACAUUUAAAGAAGUUUGAAUCACAAAAAUCAGGAAAACUAAAGGUAGAACUACAGGAUUUCUCGCCACACUUUAGCUUCUCUUUUAUUUUUCGAUCGUUCGUGAAUCUAGGAUAGAUUUCUUUUCCCUCUUUUCACGUCUGUGUUCUGCUCUUUUUAGCUGCUACCAUUUCUCUCUCUAAAGUUCUCCAAUGGAGUUUUCUUUCUUUGUGCAUAGAGAUGGUUGCUGUCAACAGUCUCUUUCUCACACAAAUUCUCCUCCCUUUUUCUUCUUCCCUCUCAUUUUUUUAUUGGGUAGAUCUAUCCCACCUCAGCACACAUUUUUCAUUCCUCUUUUCAGGUUGGUUUUUUUGGUACACGUCCAGCUGGCUAAGAGUGAUGUGGAUAGAGUGUUGAGUCAUUUUCGCAAAAUUGCCAUGAAAAUUCUAUUGGCAAUCAAUCUUGCCAAUUGCCAUGGUAAUGUUUCACUGCCUCUAUUUUCCUCUUCAUCUUCUUGCUCUUCCUACACAUGUAUUCACACAAAACCUCACCUUUCCUCCCCAAGUGUUGAAAGUAACAAAUAAUGACCAUUGUAGCAAUCUAAGCUUUGUUAUCCAAUGUUCUAAAAAUAUCCUAAAAAUGCAGAUAUAUUCACUUAAUUUCAAAUAAUUAAUUCCAUCUAGAGGUCUUAAAUAUAACUAUUUUCAAGAGUUAUCAGGUUUUAGGGUGGAUUAGCUAUUAACUAACCAAUUAUUACCUUCCAGCCUCUAACUGAUUAAUUAAUUGGUUGAUAAUCGUAUCUCUCGACCUCACUUUCUCAACCAAGAUAAAUUACGAUUUACUCAACAAACUUAUCUCCCGACCUCAUUUAACCUUUGGUUACUUCCUAGGACUGUCAAGCCUAGGUUUUAAGAAUGCGUGAUUUAUACCAAGUAAUCCGAUUGACAAACUUUUAAUCCUUUGUUAAUCACUUCCCCAUCGACUGGUUAAUCCCCCCUAAGGGAAUUAGCUACUCAUGGUAUUCAUAACCUCAAACUCAAUUGAUAUAAACAUGUAAAUAACAUGAAUAAACCAAAAGAAAAAAUAGAUAUAGAAUAAUCCUGAUUUGUACCGAUUAAGAGCAGAAUCGCGAAUCUCUAGAUUGAGAAAUUGAAUCUUGUUGAUUGCAAAAGAAAAUAAACUAAAUAAAUUUGAUUGAACAAAAGAAAUCUUGGAUCGUAAUUGAUUCCAAGAGGAAAGAGUAAAAUUUUUUAAGAAAAAUAAAAGAAAACUUAAUCGAAAUUCUCCUCCAAAAUUAUGAGGGUUUUUGGAUGCGUCUAAGACGACUUAGUUACAUUAAACCACUAAGGUUUUAUUUAUAGAAGUGUUAGUAGCCCGAAUUAGGGGUUUAACAUGUCCUAGGUCUUCGUAUAAGCUUAAUUGUGUGGAUAAAAAAUAGCCUCAAAAUGCUUGGGCUCCACAUCGGUCCUAUGUUGUGCCAUACACAAGUUAUGGUGCAACAUGACAUGCAUGGGUUAUUGGGUUUGAGUUGUACUUUAGUGGCUCGGGAAGCUUGUGCCAUACUCGCCCCUUGAUCAUACGUCCAUUCCAUUGGGCCCUAAAUUUAGCAUCCUGCACACUCAAUUACACAAAUUAAAACUAUCUAAGGCUCGUGUUGGCCUAAUAGGUUACUAACACUCACAAAUGUGUUAAAAACACUUAUUUUACUUAUAUUUAAUACUAACUACCAAAUACAAAAAAAGUAAUAAUAAAUACUAAAAUAGUUAGAAAACAAGCUACUUAAGUGUAGAAAUAUACUAUAAUGACUACUACAUUUGACGGAAGAUAAAAUACCCCCAUACUUAAGUUUUUGCUUGCCCUCAAGCAAACUAAACAAAAUAAAACAAAAAAAAAAAAAUAGCUAGCUUGAUACAAGAAAUUGGACAGAAAUAUAUUAACAAGAUAAUGUAAAUAAACAUAUAAGUCUAGCAUGAUACACAAUUGACUCACAAUUUCCAAAAUUAGACGAGUUAGUUCAUUAAAUUACAGAGCAAACAAAUAAAAUAAUAUUAAAUAUAAGUAUUCAUCAAAACAAAUAUAUAAAUAUACAAUUAUGUUCAAAUGAAUAUAAAUGGUAAAAAUAUCAAAAUUUGGCACAAUGUCAUCCAUAUAAAGUACUACCUAAGUCACAUAAGACUUUUCGACUUGUAACGUUCUGCGACUUAGGUUGGUUUGGAUAUCAAGAAUAGACUCGAACAAAAUAGAUAAUCACGAAAAUAGUUUGACACAUUAUAUUAUCCCCAAUACUCCCCCAAUUUCGAAUAAUCUCACAACCUUAUAUCCACUUCUCUCACAUUCCUUAUUUCUCCAUCACCAAGGCCUAGUAUAGUAUUCAUGAGUAUAAUCAUCCAAGUUUGAUUUUUAUUUUCAAAUAAAUGUGAGCGUACUAUUUUUUCCAACUCAUUUUGCUUUUUUUUUUCUUCGAGAUUUUCUCGAUUGACAUUUUACUCUUUUUUAUACAAGCUCAAAAAUCUUAUACUCACUAUACCAUACAAUCUUAUCCUUCAGUAUCAAUGGUCGAACGUCGUGCAAGGACCAAGAAAAAAAGGAUCAAGUAAAUUAUUUAUUAGGCUCAUGUUUUUAUUAUUGGUUCAUCAAGAAAAUGGAUUAUGACUUCAAACUAGGUAUUAGGGAAAAUAUUUGCAGGAUAGCUUUUUGGCUCAGAAAUGUCUGCCAAACAAUACCUUAGAUCGUCCCUAGGUAAUCUCAUACAUGGAUUAAAUCAACAAGUCUAUAAAUUUCUACAACCUAUAAUUCAAGUAGACAUGCAUGCUAUUUAUAUAUCCAUUAUCAUUUGGUAUAACUAACAUUUUAAAUUUAUUCACAGUGCAAUAAAUUGAACUAAUUAGUCUAAAAUUAGAUAGUUUAAAAUCAAUUAUUAUCAAACAAAAUUUACAAUUUAUUCAAAAAAUCCUAUUAACAUGCUCCUAACCAAUCACUUGUAUUUCUACAAGCUUAAAUGACCGCCUCUCGAUGUACCAAUGUCGGAAGUGAGAAUAUUACAACUAAAUAUAUAAAUUAAGGAGGUGUCCACAAGUAUACGGUUCAAGUUGUAAUAUAGUUUGUUUACAACGAAACAGUUGGUGAGUAUUUCGAGGAUCGUAUCCUAGGGAUUGCAGUUUGGGAAAAACUGCUAUUAAGCCAAUUACCAAAAAUAACUACUAGUAUACUCGAGUCACAAAUUAGUAGUAAUAAUCUAGAAGCAAGAUGAUAAUAAUAGUAAUAAUAAGCUAAAUGAAUUGAACUAAACCUAAAUCUACUCCUAAGUUCAUGUAUCGACUUUUCCUAACCCUUUUUUUGACUAUGCGAGUUCCUUUAGCCUAGAUCCAAUUAUUUUACCUGAUUAAUUAUUGAUUUAGGGUUCUAAAUAGUUGAUUACUAAUUAACCUAGUAGGGCUUCUCAGCCUUCAACUAACCUAACUAGUCGACAGGGUCUACUGACCUCUUGAUGACACAGUUCAGAUUGGGGCCGGGUAAGGUUUUCACGAAUAGGAACUACUGAUUUUGGGUUAAUUCCCACCUAUAUGACUUCCUAAGGUUGUCAAGCCUAGGUUUUAAGUUUUUCCAUCCCUAACCACUGAUCUGCUGAGUGAUGCUUGGUAGGCAAUAUUGAUUUCAGAUUCAUUCCUACCUAAAUAACUUCCUAGGGUCGUCAAUCCUAGGUUUUAAUUGCAAUCAACCAGAUCUAACUAAUCCAAAUUGAACUUUAUGUAUCAAUCAAUUAAUUAGAUUAUUACAAUUGAAACAUGCAAAAUAUGUAUAAAGUAUAAAUUGAUUCUAAUCUUUACACAAACAUUCAAUUAACAAUGUUAAAGGAAGAAAUAUAAAUGAUAGAAUAAAGGAAAGAGAUGCUAAUGGAUUUAUUGAUGAAAGCAUAGCUUCAGAACAAUCUCCGCUCGCGAAAGUCUCACUUUGAAAUAUGAUCUUAUGCUUACAAGAACAUAAUGUAAACUAGGUAAAACUAAGAAUGAGAAUAAAAACCUAAGAAUCCUCCUCCCUUAAUGUGUUGUUCUGAGCAAGUAUUUAUAGAUUACAUGUAUUAUGACCUAAUUAGGUCAAGUAAGGACGAUUAAGCAUGUUAAUUUAGGAGUUGUAGAUGAAAACACCAUUGCUCAUUGAAUUAGCCUCGUCGUAGGUGUGUCGCGACAUCGAAGGCAUUGCUUUAUUCUUGGUGUCUUCAAGGUUGUGUCAGGACAUCUUCAGGAGACUGCUCCUUGGGUAUUCUGCUUGCUGUGUUACGACAUCCCAUCUCCAUGUUGCAACAUCGGGAGUAAUCCAUUGUCCUUUUGCUCUCGAGUGAUAUCCUAUACACUUAAUCAACAUAUUAGUAUUCCCUUAGGCCCAAGUCGGCUUAGAAGGUCAUAGGACACAUAAAAUGCUCCUUUUAUUCACUAGGUCCUAAGAAGGGGAACUUAAUAAAAAAACUAUAUUAAUUUGUUAUAAGACCAGCUCGUUAAGUAUAGAAUUGGGCCUAAUCUGCUACAACAAAUUAUGGCAGAUCAAACUCCCCUACACUUAAGUCAUUGCUUGUCCUCGAGCAAUGUAAACAUAUAUUAAAAGUAAACAAAAAAAAAGAUAAAAUAGGAAAAUAAACAUGAAGACAAAAAGAAAAAAAAUUGAGCUGCAAAUAAAAAUAAAAAAAUAAACAAAAAAUAAACAAAAAGGAAAAAUAAAAAAUUUGACUUGGUUUCUUUCUUUAAAAAAGCUAGAGUUAGUGAAGAUGGAAACCUCACACCUAAACUCCCUUACACUUAACUUUUUGCUUGUCCUCAAGAAAAUUAAUUCUAAACACAUAGCAUGCAAUAAGAAGACAUCCCUUGGAUUUUAUUACUACUGAGGACAUGAUUGUCAAAUAUUAAAGGUAUAAAGAUUCUUAUUGCACAUGCAACUUAUUCUUGAUAGUUCAAUGCCUUGAAAACUUGUUAAAGUAAAUUAGGAUUAGUUUACAAAGUUACAUUACUAACAACUUAGAAUUAAUUCUCAUGACCAAAUGUUUAACAAUAUCACCAUUAAAAUAAAUCAAACAGAUAUGUAGCAGACACAAUCAUGUGAAUAAAAAAUAUUCAUUAAGUAUAAUUGUUAGCAAUUUCGAAAGGUUAUGCACAGAGAACGCUUAAGUCAUAUUGGUCUUCUAGGCUUGUAACAUUCUGAGGCUUAGGACGGUACGAGUUGAAAGAAGGAUAUGACUCAAAAUGGUUCAAACACUAGAAAUAGUUAGGCACAUGACAUUGUUCCCUCUCUUUCCCCUAAGUGUCCCUUCCAGGCUCACUGCCUUUUAUCUCCUACUCUCACCUUCCUUAUCUCUCCAUAUAAGAAGAUACAAUACAAUACUAGCAACUAUGGUCAACUUAAUGAGUUUUGGUGCACUGAUGGCUGGGUUAUUUUUCUCACUUUUAUGACUUUUUAUUUUGUCACUUGGCUUUUUACUCUUUUCUCACUCACAAUGCUUUUGUUUUUGUUCUAAACUUUUUCUUCUCGUUUUUACUUUUGAAUUUUUCUGGAUUUUUUUUGCAUAUUUUUUCCUAACCUAUAAUUAUUAUAUAACAUUAUUUCUUCCUCUAAUAUUUUGGAACCGCUAUGGUGUAUCUACCUAAACCCUUAAUAUAUAAGGCUUGACGUCUAUUUCGAAAUGUAUUAAUGAAUCAAUGAUAGGGAAAAGUUCAAGUUUUUAAUUUAUGUUUGGCUUUUAGGUUUGAAUUUUGUUGGUUCAUGAAAAAAGAGUUAUCAGGAUCAAAUAAGAAGACUAGGAAUUCAUAACAUUAAGGUAUGGUCAUUUGAGAACUGGCUAUUCAAACAAUACCUUAGGUCGUCCUUAAACAUCCUACAUUACACAUUUUCUUUCAUGCUUCGAUUUAAACUGAAUGAAUAAUAAUCAAUUCAAACAUUCAUGUUUCUACAACUUUAUAUAAGAUUCAUAUCUCAUUGUUGGAUCGUCGGUAUGCCCUGUGGCACAGCGAAAAAAUUAUUCCGAUGAUCGACAACCAAUGAUCCAUGUAUAAGGAACGAAUCGAGUUGAAACAAGGUCGAAAAUAUACGUUUCAAAACUAAAAAGCGAUGAAAGACGUUGUUGGUAGGAUCCUUUUCGGAGAUGUCGGUUCCAAGCCGCAACACUAACGUCUCGACCUUUACGUACUCCACCUAGUCAAAGAACGAACAACAGAAUUCUCUUGAACAUUUUCAAAUAGAGUUUUCCAAGAAUAGCUACUAGUCCUUUUAUUUUAUUUUCUUGGUAACCUUAACACACUAAGGGAUUCAAUUCCUUUUAUUUAAUCUGAUAUCAUAUAUCAAAAAAUAAAAAUGGGAUUAUUCCCUUAUUAUUAGAGAAAAAAAUAAAAAGUCAGGAAAAAGAUUAUCUUUUCAAAAGAAUAUCACUUUCCAUGUCCUUUUAUAUUUUGACCGAAAUUAUUAUAACUGUUUGUAGUAAUAAUAUAUGUAAUUAAUAUUUUGUUCAAAUCAAAUUCAUAUAUUAAUUUUAUGUAUGUUUUCUAUUUGUGUACAACAAGUUUGUACAUAUAAUGUGUUAAACAUUUAACUAUCAAAUUAAAUUAAUUCAACAAUUAAUUUAAUUCAUGUGACAACUAAAUACAAUACCAAAUAUAUUUGGAUUCUGUUCGCUUCAACUAUAUGGUGUGACCCUGUAGGGUCUUGUAAUGUUGAUAGUAAUACUAGAAUGUUUCUAACAUUACAAGCGAUUAGUGGCAUCUAGUAAUGCAUCAUUGCUGCCUAAGUUAUGGUUCGACAUAAUCUUUCUGUGAUAACCUUUUUAUGUAUUAUAUUAUUUUAUUCUUAAUAUCUAGAUUGGAUACGAAUCAUUGAAUAGUCACACUUGUAUAGUUUAAUCUCAUAUUUCUUAAUUUUUCUGAGUAGGCUACAAUAAACAAAUAAUUGUGAUAUCUCAUAUCAACUUAUUCAAGUAUGACAUGCUUUUCUAGUCUCACUCCACCAAGAGGCCUAAGAUGUUGCUCCCAUUAUAUAAGAGGGAUAAAUCCUAUCUUGAUCAACCAUAUCCCACUACAUGGAUUGUGGUAUAUCUAACAUCAAUCUUUAUAGUACAACCUAUUACGGUAUAUGUUUGACUGUAUCAAAAUAUAUGACUCACGAUGUUGAGACAAUGAUGAUCUCAAGUCUGAAUAUCAUAUACAUAGUUAUGACUAUAAGUAAUAUUUGUGACUAUUACAUAAUAAUCCAAGAAAUAUACUCAUAGUAGGUCAGUCCAGUAUGUUGUUCUCUAACACAUACUCAUGUAUUGAUUUUGACAUCUCUAUGUCAAUGACAACUCUAUGUCAUCAAUCAACUACACAUUAGUCUCAAAACAUUAUUAUUUUCCAAGCCCACAAUAAUACUCGAUUAAGGACCUUUUUAAGAAUAGUCAUAUUAUUCUUAGGACUUUAUUAUUAACCAAUUUAUUUAUAUACACAGAAAAGAAACUUAAAUACCAAUGGCAAUGUCUUAUAUUAACAAAUAAGGUAAAAUUACUAUGUGAUUACAAUCAUCUCAUGAUUGGUCUUUGGGCAUACUCUAACACUCAUAUGGUAUCAUCAAACAUUCUUACUUAAGUACAUCUAAUCUAUUAUGCAAUUUAAUUAAGUAACCUAAUAAUUUUACUUUAAAAGUAGUCAAAUCAUCUCAUACCAAUAAAAAAAAUUCAUGCUUGACAAAAAUUAUUACAUGCUUUAUUAUGUUCAACCGUUAUUCACAUCAUUAAUAUAAUCCAAGCACCAUGAAAAACAACAAUAAGAUUUUUUUUUGCAAAUAAUUAACUAAAACAAAAUAAACACACAAGAAAAAAAAAAACUAAUCUUAUGUGCUUUCCCCCUACACUUUAGAACAUACAUUGCCCUUAAUGUAAAUAAUUAAAGUGCAAACAAGAAAACUUCCCUAAGUAGGUCGAAUCCUUGUUAUUAUGAUAAUCUAGGGAUUUGUGUGCUCUAAGCGGACGAAAAAGUAUCUAAAAUAACUUCUACGAUAAAAACUGUGAUGUAUAAUGUAAAGAACAUAAAAAUAAAUAUAAGAAGAUGAAAAAGCGUUGAUAAUGGAUAACAAAAUGUCCAAAUAAAAGAAUUCAAACAAACUUGGCCUUUCAAUGUUGCAAUGUGGCGUUUUGUCUUAGAUGUCGUGACAUUAGGGUGCAAUGUUGCGACAUCGAGCCCAAUUCUAACUUUUUUGAUUUUUCAAUUCUAUCACUCCAUCGUAUCUACACCUACUAUGGAAAAACAACUAAACUCAAAUAAAAUUAAUAUCAAAAAGUAGAGAUAAAAUAAAUGAAUAAAAUAAACAAAACAAAAAAUAGAAGUUCUUUAAAAAUUGAGACGAUCAAUGUCGUCACCAUAAAAGAACUUCUAGCUGGUUCUCGACACUUUGAUUCGACAUUUGUUUCACUAUCAAUAUAUACAAACCAACCCUUUUUUUUAUUCUAAUGAGGUUUCCUUAUUUUUUACUGAUGUGACAUCCAUAUUACAAGCCAUUUGGUACCAAAUCUAAUCCAACCUUAAAUCAUGUUUUGGGGUAUUAUUGCCUUUAGCUUCUUUUCCUUUAUGUCAUGUGAAGUUUUGGUCACUCGAGCUUUGUUGCCAUUGUCGGAUGAGAAUGAGUCGAACCCAUCGAUCUCUUUAGCUAGUACCUUCUCUACUAUGCCCAGAAAGUGUAUUUGCUCUUCUACACUUUCAUUUAGAAUUGGUUUAAGCUCCAUGUUAGCGGUUACUUCUAUGUUUACAUCAGUGACUACAUCUACUGUUAUGUUUGAUUUUAUGUCAAUUGGAUCGGGGACACCUUGGGUUAUCUUCAAAUCAUCAUCAUGGUCCCUGAUUCCAAAACUCUUUCUGAUUUCCAUCUUCUAAGUUCGGACGAUUUUCGAGAAUAUAGUGGUCAUCAAGGUCAAAGUUGAGAACAUCAUGUACGACCUCUUCCCGUGGAGAUAAUGCCUCUGAUAUCUCUUGGAACAUUGCCAUCAUUUGUUUCAUCUCAUCUGACAUGCUUGAUAAUAUGUUGGAUGUUUUAUUGUUAGCUUAGUAGAUUUGAUCACACUCAGAUGGAUGGUUACUCGGCUCAUGUAAGGGUUCCUCUGGAUACUUGCUUUUAUCUUCUUGGUCAUAACUCCCAUAUGCAUUGUAAUGUAGCUCGUCCAGAUGUUCCGGCAUAUCGUUUUCAUUGUUACCACUCCACUAGUUUGUCGAAGCUCCAUUCAACCAAAUCUAUCCUUCAUUUUGUGCCAAUCGCCAUACCAAAAGGACAACUCAACUGACUCAGACCAGCUAUCGUCAUAAUCAAAUUUAUCUAUGUGUGUCUAUGUUCUGGGAUGAAGGUUUUUCGGGUUCAAUUGUUUCAUAAGACGAUAUCUCUUGUGGAUUGCAAAGAGACUCUAUUGGGUAUUCAGCCCUAUUAGUCGUUUUAUCAUCUAACUCAUAUAGAGGUUCAUAGGAAUACCCCUGUUUUCCAUAUUCACUAUUCGAACUCCAUUGGUGCAUCGAGUCUCCAUCUAACAUACUUGAUUUUAUGUCAUCAUAUAAAUUAUCCCACGUCUUGCCUCUAUACCAACUGUAAUUAUCAUUAAUUGCACUCAUGAUUAAAUUUACUUAAUUAAUAAGGAAAAGAACGAAAUAAUAAAAAUAAUAAAACAAACAUAAAACUGAAAUAAUAAGUUAAUAAAAUUAGAACACUAUCUAACUCGUUCAUUUUUUGACUAAUAUUAUUCUACAAAGUAAUUUAUUAAAUAACAAUUAUCACCGUCGCAAUCCUCAACAACAGCGUCAACGACUUGACCACCUCCUGAUGUACCAACGUUAGAAGUGAGAAUACUACAAAUAAAGAUAUGGAUUAAGCCAGAGUCCAAAAAUGUAUGAGUCAGGUUGUAAUAUAGUUUGUUUACAAUGAAACACUUAGUGAGUAUUUAGAGGAUCGUACCCUGGGGAUUGCAAUUUGAAAAAAACUGCUAUUAAGCCAAUUACCAAAAAUAACUACUAGUCUACUUGAGUCACGAAUUAGUAGUGUUAAUCUGGAAGCAAGAUGAUAAUAAUAGUAAUGAUAAACUAUAGGAAUUGAACUAAACCUACAUCUAAUCCUAAGUUCAUGUAUUGAAUUCUCCUAUCCCUUGAUUCGACUAUGCGAGUUCUUUUAGCCUAGAUCCAAUUGUUUUACCUGAUUAAUUAAUGAUUUAGGGUUCUAAAUAGUUGGUUACUAAUUAACCUAGCAGGGAUUCCCACCCUUCAGCUAACGUAACUAGUCGACAAGAACUACUCACCUAUCGAUGACACAGUUUAGACUGGGAUAGGGUAAGGUUUUCUCAAAUAGGCAAUACAAAUAUGACUUCCUAAAGUUGUCAAGCCUAGGUUUUAAAUUCUUCCUUCCCCAACCACUAAUCUGCUAAGUGAUGCUUGGUAGGUAAUAUUGAUUUUGGGUUUAUUCCUACCUAAAUGACUUUCUAAAGUUGUCAAUCAUAUGGUUUAAUUGUACUAAACCGAUCUAACCAAUCCAAAUUGAACUCUACCUAUCAAUCAAUUAAUUAGAUUAGUACAAUUGAAACGUGCGAAAUAUGUAUAAAGAAUAAAUUGAUUCUAAAAUUUACACAAACAUUUAAUUAACAAUGUUAAAGAAAGAAAUAUAAAGAAUAGAAUAAAGGAAAUAGAUGCUCAUGGAUUUAUCAAUGAAAGCAUGGCUUCAGAACAAUCUCCGCUCGUGAAAGUCUCACUUCUAAAUAAAAUCUUUUGAUUACAAGAAUAUAACAUAAACUAGGUAAAAGCUAAGAACGAGAAUAAAAACCUAGGAAUCCUCCUUCCCUAAUGUGUUGUUCUGAGCAAGUAUUUAUAGAUUACAUAUAUUAUGACCUAAUUAGGUCAAGUAAGGAUGUUUAAGCAUGUUAAUUUAGGUUGUGUAGAUGAAAACACCCUUACUCAUUAUAUUGGCCUCGUCCGAGUUAUGUUGAGACACCCUCUAUCUUGUGUCAUGACAUGAAAGGUAGGUUGCUUUAUUGUUGGUGUCUUUAGUGUUGUGUCGUGACAUCAUCUUGCCUAUGUUGCGAAAUCCUCAGCAGGCUGCUCCUUGGAUAUUAUGCUUGUGUUGCGACAUCCCAGCUCUGUGUUGCAAAAUCAGCAGCAAUCCACAGUCUUUUUGCCUUCGAAUGAUGUCUUGCACACUUAAUCAACAUGUUAGUAUUCCCUUAGGCCCAAAUUGGCUUAGAAGAUCAUAGAAGACAUAAAAAUGUUGAUUUUAUUCACUCAGUCCUAAGAAGGGAAACUUAAUAAAAACUAUACAAAUUUGUUAGAAGACUAGCUCAUGAAGUAUAGAAUUGGGCCUAAUCAGCUACAAUGAAUUGUGGAAGAUCAUUAAGUACAUGGGAAACACACACAAUAAAAAUUUAAAAACUUCUAAAAACAAAUAAAAAUAGUAGAAGAAAUUUAAAAUUUUCCUAAGUCACCCUACACUUUAUUCGGCACAUUGCCCUUAAUGUGCAACAAAAGAUAGAGGAAAGAGGUUACUCGAUUGGCGUGAUACAUGUAACACAAUUGGUGGGACUACUCCUCCUUAUAGUUUUUGAUCGAAAUUUUAGUACCUUAAAAAGUUGGGGGUUCAUGGAAAGAAUAACCAAAAACAUAAAAUAUAUAUAAUAACUAAAAUCCUAACCAAAUAAAAACUAAAGAAAAAAUAAAAAUCAUCCCCAAAAAAAUAUAGUGUCCAAAUUAAAAAAUGUUCAAACUAGUUAGAAUUAGACUCUGACUUUUCAAUCCACUUUGUCCUGGUUACCUUCUGAGUCUGAAUUUUCUUCAGCAUGUUCUUUCAGGUCUUCUUCCAGAACCUCCUUUGGGUCUUCUUUGACCUCUUUCUACUAGGUUCUGCCUUUACCUCAUAUUUAGCUACUGAAAACUGUGGCAGCUUUAAACCGGUCUUCCUCGUAUAGUUUUCGUAGACUGAUCCUACUUCUUGCAUCUAUCGAACUUAGUUUUUUUGCACAAUGAAGCAUGCUCUUGUAGAUUCUUGUUCCAACACAUAUGUUUUUCUUCCGUAAUAUAGCAUACAAUAACAUAGCUUGGAAAGUGAUAGCACUAGAAAGAACAUAGGUUUUCCCUUUUACUUAUUGGUUAAAUUAUUUCUAUUUAGUUAACCUUAGCAUACAUUUUAGUGUUUUCAGUUUAGUAAAUUGCAUUUUAUAACUCAAUGAAUCCUAGCCUAUUUUAUCCGUAAUUUUUAUUUCUUAUUGCAUUAAUGUCCUGCAUGAGUUAAUCCAAGAUUACGUCCAGAAUUAUCGCUGCACUUGACAGCUGCCCGCAAUGUCGCUACAUGAGUUAAUUCCAGAUUGCGUCCAGAAUUGUCGCCACACCUGACAGCUGUCCGGAAAAGAACCAAAACUGUAUGAGUUGUCCAGUCUGGUAUAACCAACUUGUACGUACAAGGACAAAAUCAUUUUGGGGAAAGACACUAUACUGUUGGAAGAAGACAUAAAAGGUAGACGUGAGAAGAAAAAAUGUGUUUUUUUUCUGAUCAUCAUAUUCAUCAUCCUACCUUGAAGCUUGCAGCCAUGACAGCUUGAGCCUCUCACGGGUGAGCUAACGUGAGAACCAGAUGUAGGCUAGCUCCUGACGAAGAGACCUAAGUGGAGACAAAAGGGAAUAGAGAGAUUCAGUUGAGUUGUCUAGGGAUAGUAUUCUCCAUUUGAUUCUUUUUUAUUUCUUUUAAUUGCUAGUGAUUACUCUCUGUUUUCUGUUUGUAUGGAAAUACACAUGAAUUCUUGGUUAAAUGUUAUCAUUUUCAAUCUUGCUUUUAUUAUUUAAUCUUGGGGUUUGAAUGUUUUGUAACACGAAAUUUCACUUUACCAUUGGAGUGUAACACCCUAAACCCGAUUUGAUGAAUCAGAUCCAAAUCCUGAGCGUUACCACUCUCAUAUAAGAGAAGCUUAACUCUACCUACACAAAUUACAAUUGAUUUGAACUACUUAAUUAGUAGAAUUCAUAAUACAAUAAAUAGGUAUAAACAUUGAAGAAUUUUGGUUAUGAUACAUAUAGAAUUCUAUUCCAAGUAUUACUAAAAUGAUGUCCUAGUCUAGUGUAGUUGUCUUGAUUCAAAGGUUUCUAUAUGCCAAACAGACUCGAUCGCGCCAUCAAGUUUGCUCUAUAUGCAUAAUAGUCUGAUACGCUUCUCCUUAGGCAUAGUCCUGGCAUUGUUUUCCUCAGGCACAGCCUCUAAUUAGACCUGAAAUAGAAAACGCAGUCUGGGCAAGUUCAUGAGAAGUUAGUGGGAUAUAAUCAUUUAUACCUUAGUCGUUUUUUUCCAUAAGAAGGUGAAUAGUCCAUCACCUUCAGCUCAUUUUCUUAAAUUUUUAUUUUUUUUUCACCAGGAAUAGUUUACCAUUAACAAAACAUAAUCCCUCAUUCUAUCUACUAAAUCAUGGUCAAUUUCCUUUAGAUUGUUUCAUCAGUGGCUUCAUCCUUUCGGGACUUCUUUCUUUCAUAAUCAUCUUAAUCUUGAUUCCCUUACUCAAUGUUUUUCGUGAAACAAUGUUUGAAUUCACUUUCCUUACCUUAUAUUUCUUCGACUACCAUUUCUUGUUACGGUUCACUGAUAAAUGCCCUUCAUAAAAUGAUCAAACGUAGCCUUUGCUUAGGUUUAUCCUUCGUUUUACUUAGACCAUACUUUGAAUUCACCACAUGCUUUGGCGCAUUCCAGUUUCUCUAUUAUUUUCUUAAGACUAUGCAAGAUACGCCAUAACAUUUCAUACGAAACUCACCACAAGGGAGGCUCCUUAGAAUAUCUCAUCGAAGGUGUAACAUGAUCCACCAUAAGGAUAUUUUCCUUCUGAGUUCAUUACAACUAUCGUUCCUUCAGAGUUUACUAUGAAUAUCAUUUCUUUCUCUUAGAGCCUACCAUAGUGGCGUUUCCUUCAGGUGGUUGCCACAAGGGUCAUUCUUUAGAGUGCGUCACAAGGCAUUCCCUUCAUAGAUCGUCAUGAAGGCUUCCUUUUCAUAAAUAGCCACAAAGGUUUCCUUUCCAUAGAUUGCCAAAAGGACUUUCUUUUCAUAGAUCGCUACAAAGGCUUCCUUUUUCUAGCGUGUUCAAGAUAGGGAUUCGCCUAGACUCACUUUUCAUAAGGCUUGCCCCUCUUCGCCCUAAGUCACACAAAGAACCCCCUUUGGGUAAUCACCUUCCUUUAGUUCUUUUCUAUAUGAUUCCAUAACCCAGCCAUUGUCUUACAAAAUAUGGUGUCAUGGCCAUGGACUUUUCCUUUCAGAGAUCGUGUCUAAAGUCCUGAUAGACCCCUUAAGACGACUCUAGGGAGACAGACACAAACUCAUCAUGUUUAACCGCACUUUCUUUAGAACAUUUUUAAUAGCAUACAACUAACGCGCAUAUACACAAUCCAUACAUCUAUAUGUAAUCAUACUUUAACUCUAGGAUUCCUAUCACUUACUUAUGCUCAACAGAUCUAUUCCAAGUAUGUAUAUCAUUCUUAACAAACAUUAGCAUGGUCAUAGACAGACUUUAAUAACCAUACACAGGGUCACAUACAUAGCAUAUUGAAACCUCAAGGAUUACAACAUCAUCUUUUAGCCACUCUCUUACACAUCUACAAUUACCAUCAGCAUACAAACAAGAGUCAACAUAGAGACUUACUUGAUUCCCUCCUACUACAUUUCAGAACUCCAAAUCCAAACUCCCAUCGUGAAAUCAACAAUAUCUACUGCUACAGAAUAAAGAAGCUUAUCAAGAUUUAUUCAUAUACCCCUUUUUCCCACUAUUUUUAACAUUGAAAAUCCCUAAGGGCGCCCUUUAUCCUUUAUCUUUCUGAUCUACCAAGGCCAACAGAUUUACUCUUCACAACACAAUAUGCAAAGUCUUAAAUCUUACCUUGAUAUGGUGUAUUCACUGGUAAAGAUCCAAAUCUACAACUCCCUUUUUUUGCAGAAGGAAAUUUAGCUCUAAAGAGAAAAAGAAAUUCUUUGGGUUCCUUUAGAUCUGGCCAAAAAUACUUCUUGAAGAAGGAAGAAGAAAACUCCCUUUUUUUUUAACCUAAAUUUCAAUAUAUAGAACCCAAGCUCUUAUUGAAACAUACCACGUGUCACAUACUUUGAACACUACCUUUACAAAUGGUUUACAACUGUAAAUAGAAAUUAAUAUUUUUAUAUUCCUGGUUUUUCCCUUUGUUCCUUUCCCACAACCUUGUUAGAACGUAACUAGCACAACAACUAGAUGAACUGGGCGUACAACACCUUUGGCAAUAAUCCCUGGCGUACAACACCUUUGGCAAUAAUCCCUUACUUAUAAGGCUCUCAACACUUUUACCAGAUCUUUUCGUCUUUAUAACUUAAUAAAUUUUAAGAACAACCUUCGCUUAAUAAUCCAACACAUACUAUGUGCCCGAUCUAUACGAAAGAACAACAAUUGGGUGGAUAGCACUGUGCCACUCAGGUUACUUCGGUUUACCCACCAAAUCCAGAACCCGCCCAAAGUUGGGUGUUACAACUCUCUUCCACUUAAUAAAAUAUUGUCCUUGAAAUUUUCUAGUUUUUUAGAAUAGUAGUAUCUAUUAAUACCUUACCAUAUGCACCAAGUGCAUACUUAGAGUUGGAAAUUUUUUUCAUUUUAGUCGUCACCACAAUUUCUAAACGUCACACUUACCUCUUUAUGAUAGAUGUCAACCUUACAUUAGAGAAUCUGAAUAGUUUCCUUUGAAAUAAACGUCUCACGCAAGUUUGUUUUUAUAAAAAAGUAUUUGAAUACUUCACCAAUUACUUUGCAAAAUUGAUUGAAACCCUAACGUUUAUGCAUUCUUCAUCUUCCAUUUCUUAUUUUUCCAAGGUAACUCAUUUCUUUUUUUUCUUUCAACUUUUUAUUUCCAGUCAUGAGAAGAGCUAGUAUUAGAGUGACAGGUCGUGACCAGACUAUUUGUACCCUCACUCGUGAAACUUCACCGCGCGUGGAGACUGAGAUGUGUGAUUGUAACACCACUAGAGAAGAAACAAAUCAAUACUUAGGGGCUCGAGGUCUCCAAAACCCAAAAUUUUUGUCCACUAUUUUAUACACCAUGAACGUCCACUAUUGGGUGUUUUCCAGAAAUUUUACCAACUCAAGAUUCAGAGAACUUGGGCCUCUAUUGGUAGUGCGCAUUUUAGUGUGCUACAAGGAUAUGAAUCCUUCAUUAAGAACAAGAUCUCGAACCUGCAUCGAAGAAAAGAUAAAUUCAUAAGGGUGGUCAGUAAGCUAAAUUCUAGUUUUGGUUGUCCAACCAAAUGGUCCCUUCCUCAGGAAAGUGUCUGCACUAAAUGCCAAUCAAAGGAUGCUCACCUUGCUAAAAGGAAAUACUAAAGGUUGAAAAGGGUUCGCACACUUGAUUUAGUAGAGUUGGUUUCAGUCAAAAAUGUAUUUCAACAUGACUUGAAAAAUCUAAGUCUAAAUGGAUACAAUCUGACCUUUCCACCACUCAAACAAUGAAUCCUUCCGUGUUGUCUGCCUUCAAGACAUGGACAUAUAACUCAGAUAGUGAACUAGCUCACAUCUUAUUGAGGCACAUUGAAGAGCCUCCACCAUUAUUAUAUCAUUUUGUAGUCUUUGCCCAAGAAAUUGGAAAAUUAUAACUUAAGAUCAAGCUAAUUAUCCUAUUGAUGAUGUAGGAUCUCCGUCACAUUCUCAUCCUUAGGAUAUGGAUAUUUCUUCAAUUCUUAAGAGAGCUCGACGCAAGGAGAAGACUACUGUUACUCCACCAUGUAAAAAAAACAGCAAAGAUCAAAAGGAAAAUGGCCAAAUCAAAUGAGGGUACUCAAGGAUCUGAUAGCAAUAAAUGCCCUCCAUUAGUGAGGCAUAAGUCAAACAAGGAGCCUAUUACUAUAGUCACCGACUCAUCCCCGAUUUUUAUCCUUCUUGAGAUUCCUCAAGUGCCUGAAGGUUCUAUCCCUCAAACAGGCUCUCUUAAGUGUGCUUCUGAUCCCUAACCAUCGGAGAAUCCCACGGAGGACAACCCUUUAGUCCAGUCAACUGUCUUUCCUUCUCAAGCACGGGUUGCACCACUGAAUCAGGUAGCAACUGUCUUUGGCCCAGUCUAAUAGAGCUAGUGCCAUCUUCCACAUCUCUUAGUUCUAUCUUUUAACAACAACUAAGCUUGAUACUUCAAUAGUUAAGAGAAGUUUUCUCCUCUUACCUUGCCUCUAAUUCUUCAGAGGAUCCUCUAUCUAUCAUGGCUCAAAUCUCAGAGAUCACGUAUCUCAAACAUGGUCUUUGGAGUGGGGCUCUCAAAGAGGCUAGCAGGGGUUACAAUAGUAAGAUAGAAUAUUAAGAAAAAUCUUUGAAAUCUAGCAAAGAUGCUUUGGCUGAAUGUCGCCAGAAACAUCAAUAUUUAAGCACUUUGAUCGCAAGGUUGUCUACCUAGAUCACAACUUUGAAGAGAAAGCCCGAGUAUGUCUAGACAGAAAAUAAUCAGUUGGAAGAUGAUAUCGACCACUUGAAGAAUGAAAAUUCUGUCUUAGAGGAGUAGUUCGAGGUUCAAGAGGAGAGUCACAAGGUGAAGUUGGAGAUGUUACACCAAUCCCACAAUGAAACCGCUAGGAAGUAUGAAGAGGACACUCAAAAGAAUCUCAUUGAGGCACUGCCAAAAUGGAGAUCAAAUUUAAUUCUAUAUGCCCAAGUGGCCUCUGGUCCUCUUGAUCUUAGAAAGGUAGACUUUGAUUUUCUAAAGGAUACCUCUACAGAGUCAUUCAAAUUUGAUGUCUACCAUCCUGAAGGAGAGGAGUGGGAAGCCUUUUAAAGCGAGUAGAAACAAUCAGUUGUCUUUUCCACUCCCGUUAUGCCAGAAGCUGAAGAUAACAAGGGGAGCUUGAUAGAUGUGGAGUAAAACCCUAAAGGUCAUCCUCAAAUAGAUGAGGCCUAUAUUGAGCUUAUUAUCCAGCCCAUCAGAGAAGGUGUUAACUCUAGUUUUUCAAGUAUUUUGAUAUAAAAAAAGUAUAUUAAAAAUCCCCUACUUAUAUUUGCAAAAAUUGUUUAUAAGUCCUUAAAAUUAUUUUCAAAACAUUGGACAAAAUAAACUUUAAAAAAAAUCCUUGAAUUAACUUAAUUUUUAAUGAGUUUUUAAAGUCUGAAGGAUUUCAACCGAUAAUUAGGUGCACAAGUAUUAUUAAAACUCAAGAUAAAAAGACCUUGACAAAGCUACAAAAUUCUACUGGUAGAACUGAGAGUUCUACCGAUACAACUCUAGCUUCUACCAAUACAACCUGGACUUCUAUCGGUAGAACGCACUUCAGUAAGCAAGGUAGUUUUGGCCUGGGACUUCUAUCAAUACCCUAUUCCAUUCUACCGAUACAACCAAAGUGCUACAUAUACCUUGAGGACUUCUACCGAAACAAGUCAAGUCAUUAGCCAAAGUUUAGCAUCCCCUGCACUUCUACCUAUACUUUGAUGGGUUUUACUGAUACCAAAUGAAAUCCUCAGAGUUCUACCGAUACAAGAGAACUUAUACUGAUAAAACGAGCCCAAUGGUUAUAUUUUGUAAAAACUUCUACCGAAACAAGUUUCAUUCUACCGAUACAACGAAGCUGCAGACUGUAUUUAAUACUUGUUUCUAUGGCUACAACGACUUCAUUUUUUUUCUAACGGUUACAAACAUCCACAAGGUUGUUAGAGGACUUAAGUACAAGGUAAAGGCUCUCCUUUGAAGUCAAGAAAGACAAGAAACAAGUACCUAACUUCCAAAAACUCAAUUUUCCAGUCAUUCUCAAUCUUUUACUCAAUAUUUCUUAUACACAUUUGUGGGUUAAGUUUUCUAUCAUUCUUUAAAGUGUCAAAACUUUGUGUGGGAGUGAUUAAUUGUUGAUUAUCUACCUUUUAGAGGUAUCAUCUUAUUAAUCAUUAUUUUUCUCUCAUUUGUGAAGUGUUACUUAAGGUUUUGGGUAGAAAACAUUAAGGGGAAGUGGUUCCAUCUUACCUUUGAAAAGAUAAGGAUUUGUAAGGUUAAACCUUGUCCUUAAAGGUUCAAAUCUAGAGGAUUUGGGAAAUCCUAAAUUGAUGAAUGCUAAGAUAGUAGAUGUUGGCAAUUGAGGCCAAACCACUAUAAAUACUUGAGACGUUUUAUUUUUUCCCUUUUCUGAAAACAUUUUAGUAUACCAAUACCCUCUCUUGGUGUAGUUUGAUCUCAACAGAAGGAAACUGAAAUUUUGUUUCUUUUUGUUCUUGUAAUUUCCUAACUAUCAAUGCAAAUGGAUUGUAUAAGGUUUCCAAGUGUACGUUUGAGGUGAUAUAAAUGUGGAAUUAGUAUAAGUUUUAGUCUUAAUUGUUAUCAAACUUGUAUGUGGUUCGUCUUGAUAAUAUGACCAUUUAUAGGUGAUUUUAACUUGGAGUUUUAUUUGCUUAUAGUGAACUUAUAUGGUUAUAAGCCAAAUUAUUAUGAAAUGGGAUUAAAUAUUUGAAUUGGUUCAUGUUAUGUGAUGCUGUCAUUGAGGAAUAUUGGUUAGAUGUUAGGGAUGUUGAUUUGUUGUAUGUUGGAGUAGGUAUUGUACAUUCUUAUGAAUAGGUUUAACGGUUGAUAUAAAUGCAUGUAUGGUUCAAUUAAGGAAUUGGUUUUGGUAGCUUGCACAAAAAGGGACAUUUUUGAAUCACACGGUUUGACACACGGCUGUAUGUCACACAAAGGUUGGUGACAAAGUCGUGUGUUCUUUAGAAAUGAGGAAGCAUGCUUAUCACACGGUUCUCGAAUUUACACAAGCUGGCCAUACGCCCGCGUAAGUACUAUAAAUAUGGUCACUCAGGUUCCACACGGCUUUCGUGACAUACACGGCUGUGUGACCUCUGUUUGUAGAAUCUUCUCUGUACUUUUGUUAAGUUUUCAAUUAUGUCCUUAUUAUCUCCCAAGUUGAUUUAAGAGCUUUCGUAAGCUUGAUUGAGACUCAGAUAUAUCUAUAAAUCAUAUUAUAUUUUGAUUACGAAAUGCUUUAUUCUUUAAUUAAAUGUGUGAAGUUGGAUUUGUAUGUAAUAUGUUUUGUUAACUAUUGUAGCAUCCUUAGCUUAGGACCGGUGACCAAACUGAGUAAGGGGUGUUCCAAAACCACAUAAAUACAUUUCAAUCACAAUUUCAUCAUUCGGGUCAAAUUGAUGUUUAAUACGAGCAUAGGGAUCAAAUUCAAACACUUGUAAAAUUUUAACAUUAUGUCUUGCGACAAGAACUUUGUGUCUCGAGAAAGGUGAUUCGCCACAAUUUGUUGUGGAAAAUUAAGCUUUUUUCAGUACUGAGCUUGUAUUCAAGUGAUUUUUUGUCUUUUAAGUUCAUUUUUAGAAUUAUUUAGUUUUGAAGUUAAAUUGAAUAAAUUGGGCUUUUAGAGUUAUUUUACGACCUUUUAGGCUGAUUUGGACCUAAGGAAGAAUUAACGAGUUGAUUAAGUGUGCAGGAUGACAUUUUAGCCAAUGAGUCAGUGGACUGCCAUGGAUGUCGCAACACUUAAGAAGAAAGUCGUGAUAUUGAAGUAAGCCUCAACACUUAGCCGAAUUUCCAACUCAAAUACAAGGCACUCUACUAGAGACAAUGUCGCAACAUCCAGAAGACAAAGUCGGGACAUUCUGUAACACUCUUCAGCCCGUUAGGAGGACAUGACGUGUAUCAUUUAGCCAGACAAAUUUCCCAAUAGACUAGGGCAUUACUAAUGGAUUCAAAUCCUUCGGCUUAACUUAAAAUUUUUAGAAAAAUAAUUAUGAAGAUUUUCCAUGGUGUAAAAGUCAUUUCUCUCUUUUUUCAUUUCGUAACGCAUCUUUAAAGAAACUAAUAAGAGUUAUAAAAGAAAAAGCUAUUAUUCAACUACUGCCUAGUUAUGGUUUACAUAUCUAUAUCAUAACAAUUCAUCAUCAGCAAAGCAAGAGGGUUCGACGUACACUAUCAAAAGAAGGGGGAAUUUUCUUUUAAGAUAAAACAAUACAAAUGAUGUAGUUAAUUGCAAAAUUUAAUUACAAAAUAUAUGUAUGCGCCAUCCACCACAUUGCCAUGCAUGAUAGAAAAAUAAACAAAUGGCUCACUUCCAACUACAACUCUGACAUUGUCCCCUUCAACAAAACCUUCUUCUACUAUCAAAAUGCCUGAGGAUGAAAUGUAACAAAGUAAGUUCAUUUUAGCUUAGCGAAUUACAAAAUAGGUACAAUUAAUUUUACAAGAACUCUGAUAAACAACAAACAUCAGUACUCAUAAGAAAAGAACAACAGUCUUUUUUUGUAAGACUCUGUUAUACAGACAUAAUAUGUUAAUUGUCACCCACAGUUCCUUAGCAGCAGUACUAUGCCAAUCUAACAUAACACAUACAACACUCAAGUGAACAAAUUUCGCUAACUCAUACACAUCUUCCACAACUCUGCAUGGUUAUCAAUAACCUGCCCUUGUACUAGCCUCGGACCCAUAUCUCAGAAAUCAGAAUCACAUAUCGGUUAUAUUUAUUUACACUUCAUAUCCUUGGUUAAGUCAAACACGCGUUCUCCCAAAAGUUCAGGCCAUGAUCUAUCAGUCCGAUUUUCAAUCUAGUUGCUCUACCGGAGGCAUCACAUAUAGAUUUCAUUUCCACAUUUUUCACGUAUCAUAAACUUUUUGGUAUUGGGCUAGUGCAACAAAGAGGCUGUUUUUACAAUGGCCAUACUCACACACAUGUCUAGACACAACACAUCGACUUAUUUGCAGUAAGAACAACUUACCACACACAACUCACAUAUCAUAGAAGUUUCAUAACCAUAAUUUUUUUGGAAUUGGGGUCGUGCAACAAAAAGGGUGUUUUUACAAUGGCCAUACUCCCACACAACCUACAUAUCAUAGUUGCUUUACCGAAGGCAUCGCAUAUAGAUUUCCUUUCCACAAUUUCCACAUAUCAUACACUUUCUAGUAUUGGGCUCGUGCAGCAAGGAGGGUUUUUUUAUAAUGGCUAUACUCACACACAGUGGCGGAGCUAGGAUAUUAAUCUUGAGGAGCCAAGCUAAAAUUAGAAGUCAUAUGUAACAGUCGAUUUAAACAUAUAAACAAUCGAUUUAAACAUAUAAAAAAUGUAUUCAAAAGAAGCAAUAUUCCAACAAUUAAGAUGAAAUAGCAUAUCAUUACUUAAAAUUGUGCACAACGUUCUUUCAAGAAAAUAAAAUCACUAAAUAUAGAGUCUGAAUCAAAAGUUUCAGCAAUCUCUCUCUUAAUAUAAACAACAAGAUUAUCUGUAAGAAACUCAUCCUCCAUUUUGUUGUGAAGCCUUGUUUUGACAAUUUUCAUCGCUAAAAAUACUCUUUCUAUUACAGUUGAAAUAGGAAGAGUCAAUAGAAGACAAAUUAAUCUAUCAAUAAGAAAAUAUACCUUUGACAUCUGUGUCUCUGCCAAUCCUUGACAAAGAUCAGAAAUUGUGGACAAAUUCAACAAUUUUGGAUGAUGUAGAACAUUUUACUUAUAAUGCUGUAGUUGAUACUUUAAGAUUACUUUCUCUUACUCAGUGAAAUAGAGAGGAUAAUAUUUUUCCACAAUACAACAAAUAUCAUCCAUAUUGAAGGACUUAUAAGCAUCAUUCGGAUCCAAAGUGAGGCUAAGGGUAAGAAGAUCAAUUGUCCAUUCAUUAAAUCUACUAUUUAGCUCAAGAAAUUGAGAAUCUAUAGUAGUAUUGAGUAUCUCAACCCGAUAAUGGUGCUCCAUAUUGGAAUUAACAUGUUAUUGAAGACCACGUUUUACCACAUAUGGAGAAUCCAUAUCGAGAACCUUAAUAUUGUGCUUUUCACAAAAUACUUUCACAACUUCCAACAAAUUGUCCUAACCAUCUUCUCUCAACUUUUGUAUAAAAGUUUUAGUGCUUGAGACUAAUUACAUAGCAUUUCCUGUAUCUUGGGAUUUUUGUUGUAGAAGUUGACAAAGAAUAUCUAUAAUACCCAUUAUCUCUUUUACUAGAUGUAAGAUAAAAACAAAAUCAAAAAAUGUAAUCUUCCUAUAUGUUGUAGCCGCAUCCCCACGGAUAGAAUAAUUAGAACCAUUUUCAAUAAUAUUUUCCAGAACAGAACAAGUAAAAUCAAACAUCCUUAUCAAGUUACAAAUAGAACCAAAAUGAGAGCUUCAAUGGGUUUCUCCAGCCCGUUUCAUAGUGCCAAUUUGGUUAAGGCCUUUACCAAUUUCAAGUUCAUCAAUUUCCAAUAUAUUUGCAAUUUCAAUUGUUUAGGGAGGUUGUAAUUGAUCAUGGCGUUUGAAAGUGGUGCUAAUUAUAUAAACAAUGAAAUUCAAAUCAGAGAAAGAAUUAUGAAUAGGAAUUACCUCUCGAGAAGCAGCAAGUAAUGCCAACUGGAGUCGAUGAGCCAAGCAAUGAACAUAACAUGCAUAGGGACAAUCAUUUAAAAACAAUGCUUGCAAACCAUUCCAUUCAUCCCGCAUGUUGCUAGCACCAUCAUGUCCUUGACCUCAGAUAUUUUGAGUGUCAAGACAAUGCCAAGAAAGAACAACACAUAUUUCUUCUUUCAAAGUUAUUGCUACAAUAUCUUGGACAUGUACAAGGUCAAAGAAAAUUUCUUUUAUAAAUCCUUUCUCAUCAACAUAUCUCAAAAUAAUAUCCAUUUGCUCCCUUUUAGAUUCAUCACGUCCCUCAUCAAUAAUGAUACAAAAUUUAGAAUCUAAAAUAUCUUCAUGAAUCUUAUGACACACUUUAUUUUCAAGAAUAUGUAAAAUCUCUUUUAGGAUCAUAUGAGAAGUAUAUUUAGCAUUUCUUGGAGCAUUGUCCAAAAUGAAUUUGGAAACUUUAUCAUUAUAGGAAUGUAAUAAAUUCAAAAAAAUUACCUCGAUUUCUUGAAUUAGAGGUUAAAUCAUGACCUCUAAAAGCACAUCCUUGCAAAGUUAACCAUCAAACAACAUCAAUUGAAAUCUUGACUCGUAAGCAGUUAUCUUCUUUUUGAUCUAAAAUUUGUGCAUUGAUAACCUUGUCAAUGUGCCGAGAUUGAUUUAACAAAUCUUGACAACUUUUCUCAGCAUUAUUAUGUGGAGAGCAUGGAUCUUGGCCAACAUGAUUCAAGAAAGCACACAUUUUUCCAUCAUUAGCUUUUUUCCAAUUAUUAAAACCUCUAACAAUGAAUGCAUUUGUUCCAUGAUGAAUAAUUUGUUUUGAGAAAAGAUAACAUGAAACAAUAAGUUGCUUAUUUAGUACAGGAUUACUCCAACCAAGGAAUUUUGCAAAACCAAUAAGACUAAAACCUUUGGGGAUGCUUGUCACCAGAAAGUAGGUACUCAGACAAAUGUAUUUUAUAUGACCCCAUUUCUGAAUAUGCUCGAAUGACUUCAUCUCACUGAUUAAUAGGAUAUUCCCAUAUUUGAGGAUGACAUAAUCUCGGAUCCUGCUCUAGAUUAUUAAUAUCAAAAGAAAGAUUUGGAUGAUCUUCACUUUCAAGUCUUGGACAUUUAAAAGUAUUAACUUCGAUAGUUGAAGAAUCUUCAUUGCUCACUGGUCGACUAGCAUCACAAGUAUCAUUACUUUUUCUGUUAAAAAAAGUAUCAUUUGUCUUUACCUUCUUCAUUUUUGCAAUCGACCUGAAAUUUAAUUUUAUAAAAUUAUAAAAAUGUAAAAUGACUAUAACAUCCAUUUAAUUUUCAUUUCCAUUUUCAUAUCAUUCUCAUUUUCAUUCUCAUUUCAAUUUCAUUUCCGCAGUUGUUGACUUGAAACCACCGAGAAAUGUAUCUAAAGUUAGAAGUUUUCCAGGAUUAGCUGGCUAUUAUCGAAGAUUCGUCAAAAGGUUCUCAAUGGUAGCUACAUCGAUGACGCGGCUAUUGCAAAAAGAUGUGAAGUUUGAAUGGUCUGGUAAAUGUUAGCAAAGUUUUAAUCAGUUGAAAGCACUAUUGACAGAAGCACCAGUUCCGGUUCAGCCUAAAUCGGGUAAAGAAUUUGUGAUAUUCAGCGAUGCAUCUUUAAAUGGUUUAGACUGUGUUUUGAUGCAGGAAGACUAAGUAAAAGCUUAUGCCUCCAGACAGUUAAAGCCGAACGAAAAGAACUAUCCGACACAUGACUUAGAGUUGGCAGCUAUUGUGUUUGCAUUAAAAUUUUGGUGACAUUAUUUGUUCGACAAAAAAUGUCAUAUAUUUACCGAUCACAAGAAUUCGAAGUAUUUGAUGUCGUAGAAAGAUUUGAAUCUGAGACAACACAGAUGGCUUGAACUAUUGAAAGAUUAUGAGUUGAUCAUUGAUUAUCAUCCAAGAAAAGUAAACGUAGUUGCUGAUGCUUUGAGUAGGAAGAACUUGUUUACUCUGCGGCUGAUGAAUAGAUGACUGACAUUAUCCGAUUAUGGCUUGAUCUUAGUCGAGUUAAAACCUAGAUCAAUGUUUUUACAACAUAUCUGCAAAACUUAGAAAUGUGAUAGUGAAUUGCUAGCUAAACGAGCACAAUGUGAGUUGACUUUUGCUUCAAAAUUUCAGGUAGGACCUAAUGAGUGUUUAUUGUUUAAAGGUAGAAUUUCUGUAUCGAAGAAUCUAGAGCUCAGUUAGAGAAUCUUACACGAAGCUCAUAGUUGUAGCUUGUCUGUUCAUCCGGGAAGCAAUAAAAUGUACAAUGAUUUGAGACAAAUAUACUGGUGGACGAGAAUGAAACGCGAGAUUUCUGAUUUUGUAUCGAGAUGUUUGGUAUGUCAGGAAGUUAAAGCUGAACAUCAGGUACCUUCAGGACUAUUACAGCCAGUGAUGAUACCGGAGUGGAAAUGAGAUAGAGUUACUAUAGAUUUCGUAUCAGGUUUACCCUUGUCACUGAGAAAGAAAGAUGUCAUUUGGGUUAUUGUUGACCGUUUGACGAAGUCUGCACAUUUUAUUCUGGUACGUAUAGAUUUUUCCCUGGAUAGAUUGGCUGAUUUAUAUGUCCCUGAGAUUGUCAGAUUACACGAACUACCAGUCUCCAUUAUUUUAGAUAGAGAUCCAUGGUUUACAUCGCGAUUUUGGAGAAAGCUACAGGAAGAUCUUGGUACACGGAUACAUUUUAACACUGCAUUUCACCCUCAGACUGAUGGUUAGUCUAAACGUGUGAUUUUAAUUCUCGAAGAUAUGCUACAUUGAUGUAUAUUAGAGUUCGGAAGAAACUGGGAGAAAUAUUUACCAUUAGUCGAAUUCACGUAUAAUAACAGUUUUCAAUCGAGCAUAAAAAUGGCACCGUAUGAGGCUCUGUAUGGUUGUAAAUGCUGAAAUCUGUUAUACUAGAUUGAGUUUAGUGAGAAAAAGAUAGACGGGGUUGAUUUGAUUCUUGAGAUUGAAGAAAAAGUGAAAGUAAUCCGAGAUAGCUUGAAAGUAGCUUCAGAUCGUUAGAAAUCGUAUGCGGGUCUUAAACAUAAAGAUAUAGAGUUCCAAUUUGGCAACAAGGUAUUUUUGAAAGUCUCGCUAUGGAAGAAAGUUCUUCGGUUCGGUCGCAAAGGAAAACUAAGUUCGCGAUUUAUCGGGCCGUAUGAGAUUACUGAAAGAAUUGGACCUGUUGCAUGCCAAUUAGCUUUACCAUCAGAACUAGAAAAAAUUCAUAAUGUCUUUCAUGUGCAUAUGUUCGACGGUACCGAUUUGACCCUUCACAUGUUAUUUCCCCGUCAGAUUUCGAGAUUCAGCCUAAUAUGUCGUAUAGUGAAGAACCGAUCAGAAUUCUGGCACGAGAGAUGAAAGAAUUGACAAACAAGAAUAUAGAUUUAGUAAAAGUUCUUUGGCAAUGGCACGAGAUAGAAGAAACCACUUAGGAACUCGAGGAAGCUAUGAGAAAAUAAUACCCGAACCUCUUUUCUGGUAAGAUUUUUGGGGACAAAAAUUCCUUUAGAGAGAGAUCAGAAUAGUGAAAUCAGAAUAUUGGUUUCGAGACCAUAAAUUCAAAGUCAAAAAUUUUAUUUUAUUAUUAUUUUAUGGUGUACAGAAUAGUGGUUUCGUUAAGAAAUUUUAUAUAAAGGACUAAAUCGCGUAAAGUGCAAAAGUUGAGUUCUAAUAGCUAAUGAUAUUAAAUAGUUAUAGAACUUUAAAGUGGAGGUUCCUAUAUGGUAAUUAGCCCAUUAAUGUUGGUAGUGGAUGAUAAUGGCUUGGCAAUUUUAUAAUUAAUAAAGUUUAUACUGGUUGAUUAAGUAAAUAAGUAAAUUAAUGAUAAAAUAAACUUAAUAAAAUAAAGAUUUCAUAUUUAAUUCCUUUCUUCAAUUGAUUGUGAAGAAAAAGAAAGUCAUUUUUGUGAAGCUAGGUUUCGGCAAGCUUAAGUCAUCCAAUUAGGUAUGUAUUUUUAAUCUAUUUUUAAUGAUUUUUACAUUUUCGGGAUCGUUGUAACUUUAUCUAGCUAGCCCAGGGAUUUUUACAGUUUUGAAUUUUGAUGAUAGAAAAUAAAUUGUUGUUGUUAGAUAAACAACUUUUGUAAAUAAAUUUUAGUAAAAUUGUCAAAUAGGGGCUAAAUUGAAAAAGAGGAAAUAUUACAUGGUGAAAUUGUGAAAUAAUUGAAGUAUAGUACAUGCUAAGGACCUAUUUGAUAUUCGACCAUGGUGGGUUGUGGUGAAAUUGUGUAAAUUUCCAUUUUUAUGAACUAGGGACUAAAUUGUAAAGAAAUUAAAAGUAUAAGGGUAAAAUAGUAAUUUUGCCAAAAAUAUGUGUUGGAAUAAAUUGAAUGAAAUAUAUAUUAAAUUAAGUUAAGUUUAUCUGUAUAGAUCUAGUCAGACCUCAUACGGGGUUAGAUCGAGGCAAAAAGAAAAUAUUGGAUUAAUCGCUUCCGUAUCUACGUACACUUGUCGAGUUAAGUUCGUGCAAUUAAAUUGAGUAUUUAUAUGUUUUAAUUGAAUUAUAUGUAUGUGAUUUGUGUAAUUGUCAUGUAUAAAUACCGAUUGCAUAUUCGAUGACGUACGACGAUUACCGAGCCCCGUUUGACCCUUAAGAAUUCGUAGAAUACAAAUGACAUGACAUUAGGGUUACCGAUUUAGUUGAGGUCCUGCAUGUGUUGCGGACACACCACAGCUCGUAUGAGCUUACCGAUUUAUAGCUCGUGAGAGCAUACUGAUUUAUAGCUCGUAUGAGCAUACAUGUAUAGGAAUUGACGGAUUACAGUUUAACACAUUAUGUGUGAGCUAUCCCAAGUAUCCAACGAUAUUCUAAAUGGUUCAAUGGGCAAUGUUCUGUUACGAGAUGAUAUGAGUUCUAUACGAACUAUUAUAGGUAUAUAUAUGAAAUACAUGGAAAUAAUAUUACAUGAUAUAUUGAAACAUGAAACGGAUGAUACAUGUAUAUGAAACUUACAUAGUGGUUGUGUUUAUCCAUGUUUUGUUUUUUGCUAUUAUUUGUUUUUUACAUGGCUAACAUAUUAGUGAAUACAUGUGCUUAGGCAUUUGGCCAAAUUAAGUUGGGAUAUGCUAUGUUUACUUACCUAAAUUGUGACUAAAUGGUAAGUUAAAUUCUAUGUUAUACGAACUUACAAACUUAAAUGCUUACUCUGUGUUAUUUUCUAUGUUUUAUAGUGAAUCAGAAGCUCUUUUGAGUUGGAAGCUUGUCGGUGCUAUAUCACACUAUCCAUUGGCUCACUCGGUACUUUUGGUUGGUUUAAGUUUGGUUAUAAUGGCAUGUAUAGGUUAUUUUGGCUAAUGCUGACCUAUACGUUUUGUUGUAAUUAUGGCCAUUUAUAUGGCUUGUGUUUGGUAUAUUUUGGAUGUGUAUAAUUUGUCUUAAUAUGGUUGAUAUCUGGUGUGAAAUAGUUGUUGAAUGUGCAUAUUAGACAUGUCAUAUAGUUUGAUGUGAAUUGGUGCUUUGUUGUGGAAGGCAUAUAUAUAUUGAUGCUAGUUUAGAAUGGUAUAAUUUGUACCAAUUGGGAAGUUUUGGUAUGUUUUGGUAACUAAGCUAAGUGAUAUGAAAUGAUGCAAAUUUCUUGGAAUGUUUUUGUUUUACUUGGUUAAAUUUUGUACAUAAUUAUCCAUGUUAUGAAUUGUCAUUUAAGGAGCCUAAGGGCAUAUUAGUUGUAUGUUAAUAUACCAUAUGUUUACGUCUUGAUUGUACUUGUUUUGGAUGCCUUAAUAUGGCUUGUAUAUAUGCACAAUGUUGGAUAUAGGUUGAUGCCAAUUUGGGUGAGAAAAAUGACAACCAAAUUUGGGCUAAAUAAAUUAUUAUUAAUUAAUUAUGGAAAAAAAGGGUCCAGUUGAACCGCAUUGGUUAAACCGAAUCUAGUGAACUGAACCAGCCACCAAUUGGGCUGCCCAUAACUGUCCAUAUGUUGACCCAAAUUAGAAUUUUAGCUCACUAAAUAAGCUAGCAAAGAAGCCUUUGAAGAACUUUCAACCUUGUACUCAAACCCCUCACAAAUAUGUGGCUUUAUGGAUUUGCCCCAGGCUAUUUUUAGCAAAGUUGAAUCUCUCAACUUUGCUAUGUGUGUGGCCAGCCAAGGGGGGUCUCUUUGGCUGAUGGAAUUUUAUAUUUUUAGCAGCCACAAUCAGCUAUUAAAGCCACCCCUUGCUGAUCAUUCAACUCAUCCCUCACACUCUUACUCUCUCUUCUCCUCUCUCACUUUCUCUCAACUUUUCCUUCCCAUUUUCCCUUUUGUUCAAGUGUCGAUUUAUUCUCUUGGGAAAGAGGUCCUCAUCAGCCAUUUUUGAGCAGCAAUUAAAGUGUUCAUAAGCCACCUUGAUAGCCGAGGACAACGGGGAACGAAGAAUGGAGAAAUCAGUCAAGCCACGGAGAAACACCAGAUUUGCUUCUUGUUCCCUGUCUCUUUAAAUUUUGUUGUUGUUUUGAAAAACAUGUUUAUGAAUAUUUAUGCCAUUGAAAUGGUUAUUUUAAUCAAUCUAGCUUGAAUUUAAUCCGUGUUGGGUUGAUUAUAUUUUGCCUGCUUGAAUUAUUGAAAUUGUGUUUGUGCUGUUAUAGGUCUUGGUAAGAUGCUUGAUUAAGUAAAAUCAUGGCUAAGUUAUUCUUGCAAUAUUAAUUGUUAGAUAACUAAUGAAUUAAUUAUUAAAUCGUAUUGAAAUUGUAAUUAGUCGACACAAUACUUAAUCAGUGCAUGUUUAUUCUUCUAAGGUAGCUGAAGUUAAUUUAGCAUUGUAUUUGGCGAUACAUAUGCCUUGCAUAACUUGCAAGAUUAUUGUGAUUAAAUUGUUUCAAGGAAGAAAUACUCUGUUACCUCACUUGAUCUUUUAUAUGCUUAUAAAGAUUGAUUAAUCGCUCGAAUUGACAUUGAAAAAUGUUCAAGAGAUUGAUUAAUUUAAUAAGUAUGUAUGAGCAGUAGUUAGCAAAUUACUGAGUUGCAGUGAAUUUGUUCGUAGCAGUAUAAACAUAAGUUUAAUAAUUCUAAGUUAAAGGAAUGUAAUUAAUCCAACACAAUUAUAUCAUCUUGAUUAAAUCUUAUUUAAAAUCUUGCAUUAGAACCUUUUUAUUUUUAAUUUUUUUUACUUAGUUUUUAACCCUUAGUUUUUUAUCAUCUUUAAACCAAAAUAUUUUUCAUCACCAAAGUGUAUUAACAUUAAUUUCAUAAAUAUUCUUUUUUACAGUCCCUGUGGGUAUGAUAACUCAACAUUUACUUGUCACUUUAUUACUUGUUGCGAUUGUGUACACUUCCACAUUUUCGUCGUUCCAAGUUUUCGGCGCCAUUGCCGAGGACUGUCUUAAAAAAAAGCCAUCAUUUGUGAAUCUGUUUUUACAUUUUGGUUUAUUUAUUUUUCUGUGUAAAUCUUUACUUAAUCUUUUUGUGAUUAUUUCAGGUGUUUAUGAGUAUUGACCAGAUUAUCAACUUACUCUCUGUGGACCCUGAAAUAGAACGAACCUUUCGACACCGAAGAAGUCAAGCGAACCAGAGAAGGACCGAAGAGAUAAACUUUGAGAAUAUGAAUCAAGGAAACGGAGCAAAUCUUGCUCAGAAUCUUAUCCUUAUUGCUAAUGAUAGUGAUAGAGCUUUACGACAGUAUGUCGUGCCAAUAUUUAAUGAUCUUAAUCCGGGUAUUAGAAGACCCGAAAUCGAGGCACAACAAUUCGAGCUGAAGCUAUUCAUGUUGCAGAUGCUUCAGACUUGGGCCAAUUCAGUGGAAUGCCUACUGAAGAUCCUCAUCUUCACUUAAGACUAUUUAUGGAAGUGAGCAAUUCUUUCAAGUUAGCCGGAGUACCCGAAGAUGCAUUACGACUAAAGUUGUUCCCAUAUUUGCUAAGGGACAGAGCUUGUGCCUGGUUGAACUCAUUGCCACCGAACUCCAUUUUUACAUGGCAAGAGUUAGCCGAGAGAUUACUUAUGAAGUAUUUACGACCGAGCAAGAAUGCCAAGUUGAGGAAUGAGAUCAUUGCCUUCCAACAAAUGGAAGAUGAGUAGUGGACGCCUCAUAUUGCAUUCAACUUGAGACAUUCUAUAAUGGUCUCAACGCUCACACGAGGAUGGUAGUGGACGCCUCUGCUAAUGGUGUUCUUGUUUCUAAGUCUUAUAAUAAGGCUUACGAAAUUAUUGAGAGGAUUGCCAGCAACAAUUAUCAAUGGCCAACCAAUCGAGCAACGUCAGGAAGACGAGUCACUGGAAUACAUGAAAUGGACGCUCUCACUUCACUUGCAUCUCAGGUAUCUUCAAUAUCCUUAAUGUUUAAGAAUCUUACCACUAAUGAGUCUAACAGUUUUGCAGCCCAACCACCUAACCAAUUUGAGAAUAUAGCCUGUGUUUAUUGUGGGGAAGGACAUUUGUUUGAAGAAUAUCCAUUGAACCCCAAAUUCGUAUAUUACAUGGGUAACCAAAACCAAAACUGAAGGAGGCAGGGACUGCAAUCCAACUUUUAUAACUCAUCGUAGCGAAAUCCCCAAAUUUUUCCUAGAGUAACCAAUGGGCUGGAACCAAUAACACUUACGCCCAACCUAGACCAACUCAGCCGCCUAGUUUUCCCCAAUAUGUUCAGAAACCAACCCAAGCGGAACCAUCCAAUAGAUUAGAGAAUCUAUUGAAGGCAUACAUGGUAAAAAAACGACGCCACUCUAAAGAAUUUGGAUAAUCAAGUAGGCCAGCUUGCUACUGAACUCAGGAAUCGACCACAAGGUGCUCUACCAAGUGACACGGAGAAUUCGAAAAGUUUAGGGAAGGAACAUUGUAAAGCGUUGACAUUGAGGAGCGGAAAGACAAUAGUGCCCAACAUUGUCGAAGUGGAAAAGGAGCCAGCUGACGCUCAAGAUUCAGAAGAAGUUCAACCAAGUGUUGAAAUUCUAGUUUCACCAGAACAAGAAUCUGCAAAACCCGACAAAGUAACCUCAGGACCAGCUAAUUCUGAUCAACUAACAACAUCGUUAGAUCCAAAAUUACCGAAGAUGAAUCAACUCAAAUCAGUCCCAGUAAUGAAACCACCACAAAUACUUUAGAAACAGAAGCAGGAGAUUCAAUUUAAGAAGUUCCUUGACGUACUCAAGCAACUUCACAUCAACAUCCCGUUGGUUGAGGCACUUGAGCAAAUGCCGAACUACGUCAAGUUCAUGAAAGAUAUCUUGUCUAAAAAAUGAAGACUUGGAGAAUUUGAGAUAGUAGCUCUGACGAAAGAAUGCAGUGCAUAUCUUCAAGACAAACUACCCCCAAAAUUGAAGAAUCCUGGAUGUUUUACCAUACCGUGCAACAUUAGAGCAACAUAUUGCGGUAAGGCAUUAUGUGAAUUAGGUGCAAGUAUCAACUUGAUGCCUAUGUCAAUAUUUAGAAAGUUGGGGAUAGGAGAAGUUAGACCAACUACAGUUACGCUUCAACUAGCAGAUCGAUCCUUAGCACAUCCAGAAGGAAAAAUCGAGAACGUAUUGGUACGUGUAGAUAAGUUUAUCUUUCCUACUGACUUUGUAAUUCUAGAUUUUGAAGUAGACAAAGAAGUACCAAUCAUCCUAGGAAGGUAGUUUCUAGCAACUGGAAGGACCUUUAUUGAUGUGCAGAAGUACGAGCUCACUAUACGUGUUUAGGAUGAUUAGGUAACAUUUAACGUCUUUAAGUCUAUGCGAUUUCCUGACAGAGUGGAUGAUUGCUCUGCAGUGUCCGAUUUAGAGGAUUUAAUAGUGGAGAAGAAACUCAAUUGUGUUGAAGACCCAGUGGAAAGAAUUUUGACAUCGGAUCCUCCAAAUGAUGAAGAGAAGGUUGAAUACUUAGCUUUGCUAGAAGCUAAUCAAAGGGGAUUGAAUCCGCAAUCCCAUUCUGAAUCUUUAGAGUUAGAAAAGAAGGACUAUUCCCAACCAAAAACGUCGAUCGAUGAGCCACCUAAAUUAGAACUCAGGGUAUUACCUUCUCAUUUAAAAUACGUUUAUUUAGGUAACACUUCUACUCUACCUAUGAUUGUUUCAGCAGAAUUGACCACUAAGCAAGAAGAGAAACUUAUCUUAGUUCUAAAACAAUUCAAGAAGGUCAUUCGAUGGACCAUAGUCGAUAUUCGCAGUAUUAGUCCAUCUGUAUGCACGCACAAGAUUAUCCUGGAAGAUGGCAAAAAAGGGAAGAUCGAUGGACAACGAAGACUGAACCCCAUCAUGAAGGACGUAGUAAAAAAAGAGAUCACCAAGUGGUAAGAUGCAGGUAUCAUCUAUCUUAUCUCAGACAGUUCAUGGGUAAGUCUGGUCCAGUGCGUGCCAAAGAAAAGAGGUAUCACGGUCGUAGAGAACGAGAACAACGAGUUGAUACCGACUAGAACGGUUACAGGAUGGAAAAUCUGAAUAAAUUACCGGAAGCUGAACAAGGCGACUAGGAAAGAUCAUUUUCCUUUGCCGUUCUUGGACCAGAUGCUAGAUAGAUUCGCAGGACGAGAUUACUACUGUUUUCUCGAUGAUUACUCAGGGUAUAAUUAGAUUACAGUAGCACCGGACGAUCAACACAAAACGACAUUCACCUGUCCGUACGGUAUGUUUGCAUUUAGACGCAUGCCAUUUGGUUUAUGUAAUGCACUUGCUACAUUUCAAAGAUGUAUGAUGUCUAUUUUUACUGACAUGGUUGAGAAAUAUUUUGAAGUUUUUAUGGAUGAUUUUUCAGUAUUCGGAGAUACUUACGAUGAUUGCUUAGCCAAUCUAACUAAAGUACUAAGGCGAUGUGAAGAAACGAAUCUCGUACUCAACUUGGAAAAGUGUCAUUUUAUGGUACGAGAAGAAGUUGUUCUAGGGUAUUGGAUAACAAGACAUGGGAUCGAGGUAGACAAAACAAAGGUAGACGUUAUUGAGAAACUCCCACCUCCAGCAUCUGUAAAGGGUGUUAGGAGCUUUUUGGGCCACGUCGGUUUUGAUCGAAGAUUUAUCAAGGACUUCUCCAAAGUUGCUAAACCCUUAUGCAAAUUAUUGGAGAAGGACUCUAUAUUCAAGUUUGAUGAGGAAUGCUUAAAAGCCUUCAACGAUUUGAAGAGUCGAUUAGUCACGGCACCCAUAAUCGUCACACCAGACUGGGAUUUUCCAUUCGAAUUGAUGUGUGACGCAAGUGACUUCGCAAUUGGAGCUGUCUUGGUCCAGCGAAGGAACAAAGUUUUUCAUCUCGUCUACUAUGCAAGUCGAACCCUAAUAGGAGCUCAACUGAAUUAUAUGGUAACAGAAAAAGAGUUACUUCCUAUUGUGUUUGCUUUCGACAAGUCUCGAUCUUAUCUGGUAGGUACCAAAGUGACUGUCUAUACGGACCACUCAGUAAUUAAGUAUUUACUUGCAAAAAAAGACGCUAAGUCGAGGCUGAUUUGAUGACUACUUCUACUUCAAGAGUUCGAUCUAGAAAUUCAAGAUCGAAAGGGAGUCGAAAAUCAAGUAGCAGAUCACUUGUCCAGAUUGGAGCCACAAGAAGGGAAUUCUCCUCUUAUACCAAUUCAGGAGAAGUUUCCAGACGAACAUAUCCUAAAGGUAAAUCAUGUCCAUAAUACCCCUUGGUUUACUGAUAUUGCUAACUAUCUAGCUUUUGGUUUGAUGCCAAUUAAUAAGACGUAUCAACAAAGGAAAAUGUUUCUUCACAAUGUGAAGUACUAUUUCUGGGAAGAGCCAUAUGUGUUUAAAAAGUGUGCAAAUCAGAUGAUCAGGAGAUGCGUGGCAGAAGAUGAAAUAUCGAAGAUUUUAUACCACUGUCACUCAGCUCCAAGUAAGGGACACUUCAGAGGUACACGGACAGCGGCCAAAGUAUUGCAAGCCAGAUUCUUUUGGACAACACUAUUCAAGGAUGCAUAUGCUUACGUGAAGAGCUGUGAUCGAUGUCAAAGGGUUGGAAAUGUCACCAACAGAAAUGAGAUGCCUUGAAAAAACAUCAUUAAGGUAGAGUUGUUCGAUGUAUGGGGUAUUGACUUUCUUGGUCCUUUUCCUCCAUCUUGUGGUCACAAGUACAUACUAGUAGUAGUAGACUAUGUGUCUAAGUGGGUCGAGGCUAAGGCAUAUCCGACAAACAAUGCUAAGGUUGUGAUGAAGUUUCUUCAGAAGCAUGUGUUCACAAGGUUUGGAACCCCAAGAGCUAUCAUCAGUGAUGAAGGAUCCCACUUUGUGAACAAGUGGCUAAAAUGGUUAUUAGACAAGCACGGAGUGAAACACAAGAUUGCAACAGCUUACCAUCUGUAGACAAAUGGGCAAGUUGAACUGGCAAAUAAGGAGAUCAAAGGUAUACUUGAGAAGGUAGUCUGCCCGAAUCGACGAGAUUGGUCCACAAGAUUAGAUGAUGCUUUAUGGGCUUACAGAACAACAUACAAGACACCGUUAGGGAUGUCACCCUAUAGGUUGGUCUUUGUGAAAGCCUGUCAUCUACCAUUGGAGUUAGAGCACAAAGCAACUGGGCUCUUCAAUAGCUUAAUUUGGAUCCUAAGCUUGCGAAAGAGAAAUGGAUGUUCCAACUCAAUGAAUUAGAAGAGUUCCGAAUGUUCUCAUAUGAAAAUACCGAAGUACGUAAAGAAAGACUCAAGAAAUGGCAUGACAACCACAUUCGAGUUCGAGAAUUUGAAGCAGGUCAGCAAGUCUUGUUGUUCAAUUCCAGAUUGAAGUUCUUCCCAGGUAAGCUAAAAUCACAUUGGUCCGGUCCAUUUACGAUUCACCAAGUCUAUCCAUACGGAGUUGUUGAACUCCAAGGUAAGGGAGGUAAUUUUCGAGUUAAUGCUCAGUGCCUGAAACAUUAUUAGGGAGAUAAAAUUGGGCGGGAUAAAAUCUCGUCCAUUUUAUCGGAUACUUAACUUUUCGUUUUACUUUUUGAAUAAAUGAUUUAGGGUAAAGUAUGUUUAAAUAAAUUCUGUCUAGGAGAUUGGAACUUAAACGGGACCGUUUGUGACCCCUCCAAUCUUUCUUGGAAAUUUAUUUUAACAUAAUUUUCCAAGAAAUUAUCCCCUAAAUGGAAAAAUAAAUUUUUAGUUUCAAAUAAAAGGGUCAAUUUUGAUCCAAGUUUUAAUUUGCAACUCAAUUUUAAAUUUUCAUUAAGUCUAGGGACUUAAUUGAAUUAUUUUUAAAAUUUAGUCCCUCUUUUCGUAAAUAAUAAAAAACCAGGUGCCUUUCUUUGUGAAUAUUUUCAAAAAGCAUCUAGAAUAAAUAUCUUUAAUAUUAUUAAUAAUUUGAUAAAAUUUAAUAUAUAAUUAUAUUAUUUAUAAUUUAUAUAUUAAAUUUUAUCAACUUAGCUUAGAAUUAGGAUUAAUUAGGAAUUUUUUAUUUCUGCACAAUAAAAUAAGAUAUGGGAAUCAAAAGUAAAUAUGGACAAGUAGUAAAGUCUAAAGUGUGGCAAUAGGUAUAUACAUGUCUAGGAUUGGAUCUAGGAAGAACUUGGUACUUAAGCAGUCAAAUUGACUCACCUCCUCUUUUCUGGAAUCCUACCUGGUGUAUAGUAUCUUUUCACUUGAAACAAUGAGGAGAUUGUUCAUUUUAAGUUGGGGGGACUGAAAAUUGAAAUUAUUUCCACUCAAAAUAAAAUUUUUUCUUUUAAUUAUGAAUAUGAUAAAUUUUUGUUCAAUAAAUUUGAAUUUUGUUAAGUAUGCUAAAUUUAAAUAUGAAUAAAGUUUGAUUAUUUCAAUAAAUUGCUAUGUUAGCUUAAUAAUGACAUGAAAUGUUUUUCUAAUAAAGCAUGCAUGAAAGUUUAAGUCUUUAGAAUUAACUUAGUAGUUUCCUGAGGCAAAAUCCUAGGAAGUAUGGAACGUUGAAAAUGAUUUAGGCAACUGUUGUUUGGACCGUUUGAGCCUUUCAAGCCAACCAUGAUGAAAUUUUUAUCCUUUGAAACCCAACUUUGAGACUUUAUGGCCUAAUUUUAUUUGAACCCUUACAAAGUUAGCCAUCACUUUUCUUAAUUAUCUUAAAAAUGUCCCAAGCACUAGACUCAGUACUAUUCAGAGUAUUCUUUGAAAAUAAGUUUGGGGGAGUUGCAAAGAAGUAUGAAAUGCUCUAAAAAUUGUAGUACAUGCAGUAAAAUACUCGAAAAAAAAAGCAUAUGCACUUGAAGUAAAUUGCACUAAAGAGCAUGUGAAAAGGAAAGAAAAGUUGAUGUAUUAAAGGUAAUUAUUUUAAAAGGUCCGAUACAAGCUGAGUCUAGGGUUUUUUUAAACUUAAAAUUAUCUAUCUUUUACCUACCCCCAAGCUCAGCCAUGUUACAACCUUGUUAAAGACCUGUUGAUUCAAAGUUCCAAUGUUACCUACAUUAGUGGAGAGAAAUUGUUCUGUUCAACAUAUGAAGACAUCAGUUAAGCUUAAUGAUUGCAGUUUAAUUUUGAAUAAGGGAUUAAAAUCAAAUUGGUAGGGAUUAACAUGUCUUUAUUAAGAAACAUUUAGUCUAAUUUUUCUAUUGUACUAAUUGUUGAGAUUAAUUUGAAUGAUAUAUAUACUUGAGUAGCAUAAUUAUCAAAUUUCUUGUUUUUGAGCAUAAGUAUAUUGAUUUCAUGAUUUUGGGAAGAAUGUUGCUCUAAAGGACUUUUUCAAAAAGUGUUUCCAAGAAAAUUCUUUUCAAAUUUCUGCAUUACUCGAGACGAGCAAUGAAUUAAGUUUGGGGGUGUAGAAACACGAAAAUUUAUGUGUUUUUACAUGCCCUUUUUAACUUAAAAUCAUGCUAUUUCGAUUAAAUUAUUGUCGAAAAAUAAUAAAAUAUUAUAAAAUAAUUAAAUUUUGUUAAAAAUAUGAACAUGAUGAAUUUUAAUUAAUUUUAUAGUUAAUUUUGAUUAAUUUUGACUAUUUUCAACAGAUUCGAACAAAGGGCGAAAAUUCGCUCGGUAGACAAUGCUCGAAGAAUAAAAUCGAGAAGCAAUUUGAAGCAUCAAGACAAAUCUAUUUCCAGCCUAAGAUGGUCCAAAAAUGUGUGUUAAUUCAUAAUAUAAUUAAUUUUAAUUUAUUCCCAAUUUAAUUUGGGCUAAAUAAAUUAUUAUUAAUUAAUUAUGGAAAAAAAGGGUCCAGUUGAACCGCAUUGGUUGAACCGAAUCUAGUGAACCGAACCAGUCAUCAAUUGGGCUGCCCAGAACCGCCCAUAUGCAGACCCAAAUCAGAAUUUUAGCUCACUAAAUAAGCUUGCAAAGAAGCCAUUGAAGAACUUUCAACCUUGCACUCAAACCCCUCCAAAAAAUGUGGCUUUAUGGAUUUGCCCGAGGCUAUUUUUAGCAAAGUUGAAUCUCUCAACUUUGCCAUGUGUGUGGCCAGCCAAGGGGGGUCUUUGUGGCUGAUGGAAUUUUCUAUUUUUAGCAGCCACAAUCAUCUAUAAAAGCCACCCCUUGCUGAUCAUUCAACUCAUCCCUCACACUCUCAUUCUCUCUUCUCCUCUCUCACUUUCUCUCAACUUUUCCUUCCCAUUUUCCCUUUUUUUCAAGUGUCGAUUUAUUCUCUUGGGAAAACGGUCCUCAUCAGCCAUUGUUGAGGAGCAAUUAAAGUGUUCAUAAGCCACCUUGAUAGCCGAGGACAACGGGGAACGAAGAACAGAGAAAUCAGUCAAGCCACGGAGAAACACCAGAUUUGCUUCUUGUUCCCUGUCUCUUUAAAUUUCGUUGUUGUUUUCACAAACAUGUUUAUGAAUAUUUAUGCUAUUGAAAUGGUUAUUUUAAUCAAUAUAGCUUGAAUUUAAUCCGUGUUGGGUUGAUUACAUUUUGCCUGCUUGAAUUAUUGAAAUUGUGUUUGUGCUAUUAUAGGCCUCGGUAAGAUGCUUGAUUAAGUAAAAUCAUGGCUAAGUUAUUCUUGCAAUAUUAAUUGUUACAUAACUAAUUAAUUAAUUAUUAAAUCAUCUUGAAAUUGUAAUUAGUCGAUACAAUACUUAACCAGUGCAUGUUUAUUCUUCUAAGGUAGCUGAAGUUAAUUUAGCAUUGUAUUUGGCGAUACAUAUGCCUUGCAUAACUUGCAAGAUUAUUGUGAUUAAACUGUUUCAAGGAAGAAAUACUCUGUUACCUCACUUGAUCUUUUAUAUGCUUAUAAAGAUUGAUUAAUCGCUCGAAUUGACAUUGAAAAAUGUUCAAGAGAUUGAUUAAUUUAAUAAGUAUGUAUGAGUAGUAGUUAGCAAAUUACCGAGUUGCCGUGAAUUUUUUCGUAGCAGUAUAAACAUAAAUUUAAUAAUUCUAAGUUAAAGGAAUGUAAUUAAUCCAACACAAUUAUAUCAUCUUCAUUAAAUCUUAUUUGAAAUCUUGCAUUAGAACCUUUUUAUUUUUAAUUUUUUUUACUUAGUUUUUAACCCUUAGUUUUUAAUCAUCUUUAAACCAAAAUAUUUUUCAUCACCAAAGUGUAUUAACAUUAAUUUCUUAAAUAUUCUUUUUUACAGUCCCUGUGGGUACGAUAACUCAACAUUUACUUGUCACUUUAUUACUUGUUGCGAUUUUGUACACUUGCACAUUUUUGUCGUUCCACCUGGCCACACGGCCGUGUGACCCCUGUAGCUUUGAAAAUUUUUAUUAUUUUUCAAAAAUUUCUCUAAGUUUUUGAUUUAGUCCCGACUUGUUUCUAACUCAUAUUUAGGGCCUUGAGAGCUCAUAUAAGGGACUUUCUGUAUGAUUUUGAUUGGUUUUAUUAUGAAUAUUGAUAUGUUAUGAAAUGUUUGAAAUUUCUAUCUGUUUGAUUUGUGAUCUCCAGUAAUACUCCCUAACCCUGUUCCGGCGACUGAUUCGGGUUAGAGGUGUUACACCACACACAACUCACAUAUCAUAGAACUUUCAUAACAAUAAAGAUUCUGGUACUGGGCUCGUGCAACAGGAAGGGUUUUUUUGAAAUGUCCAUACUCACACACACGUCCAGACAUAACACAUUGACUCAUUUGCAAUAAGAACAACUUAUAGCACACAACCCACAUAUCAUAGUUGCUCUACAGGAGGCAUCACAUAUAGAUUUCUUUUCUACAAUUUUCACAUAUCAUAAACUUUCUAAUACUGGGCUCGUGCAACAAAAAGGGUGUUUUUACAAUGGCCAUACUCUCACACACAUCCAGACACAACAAAUCGACUCAUUUGCAGUAAGAACAACUUACCGCACACAAUUCACAUAUCAUAGAAGUUUCAUAACUCAAAGGAAGUAAGAAGGAACUCACCAGCAAACUUUAGAACAGAAUCUACUCUACUUGUCCUUUGCCUCGAUCAUUCGGACCUUCACUAGCUUCUUGAGAAAAAUAAGAACCAGUUAUAAUAAUUAGACCAUUUAUCUACUUUAAUCAUGCAAGCAUUAAUGCAAAAACGUAAAUCCCCUCGUCAUUAACCUAAGGGUUUUCUAAAAAUUACCAGUAAGAUGGUACUUAACAAGAGUGUUUUGACUAGCUACUGGAAACCUUCCUCGUCUUCUCUAACGAAGGGACCCAGAAAAGAAUGCAGAGAAAAAUAAAGGUGAAACAUGUUGGCUACCGGCAUCCUUAUAUAGCACAGGCAUAAGGAACAAAGCUUAGUAGGAGGGUCAAAAAAUCCCAUUAGAGCCCAUGAAACCCAAGAAUAGACUUACCUAAACAUCUACCAAACUUAACUACUACCACUAAUCAUUUUAAUGAGUAGUAAAACAUUGCUUGUACACUAAAACAAUCCAACUAAACAAGUCAUUCAACUACCUAAAUACAUCAAGUUGUCAUCUACAAUACUCUAGUUCAAUUCCAACUAGGUCUCAACUAAACUUUAAUGAUACUCACUGAGCCAUCGUUUAUGCUAAAACUAAAAAAAAUACACUGAUCCACGGAUUAAAGAGUUCUCCCCAAGUAUUUGGGUUGGUGAAUUUUCACACAAAGGAGUCUGCCAAACCUUAGAGCUCGUCAAAUGGCGAAUUCUAACAAUGCGUCAAUCAAAAGGGCAUACUGUUGAAUCCAUGCAAUAUGACACCCAGACUCUUAAAGGAUAAUUCACCCUUUUUCUAAAUUAGCUUACUCAACUAUACACCAAACAGUAUAUCAAUACGGUCUGUGUCGGGCUGACUAUUACACAUUAAACCUGAGUUCCAAAGGGCAAGCAUACUGCCAAUGAAGUCGUAACACUGAACUUAUGAACUCACGACCUUCCAUCCAAUAUUGAAGGCCAAGCAUUCUGUCGCCAAGUCGAAAAAUCGACUAUAGGGUGUCGUGACACUGGUUUGACGAGGCUUGUAGGACUGCAAGGGUGAUUUUGUUCGUACACUCUUACUUAACUUGUUAAACAACUUGUAAUUGUCCUACAUUGAUCAUACUACAAAAACACUAUAAAUAUUAGCUGAUAAGAACUUAUUAAAGGGUUCUAAUUUUUUCUUAAGUUCUUUUCAUAGAAUUAAUUAAGGUUUUAGGUAGAUUUAGAAUUUUAUUUCUAGUUGUUAAGCAUUUUGUAAUUUUUAAUAGAAAUUUAUUUUCAAUUUUAUUUUGAUUACUUUAUUUUUUUUCAAAUCAAAUAUCAACAUCAUUCAUGGGUUUAGCAAUUAACGCAUCAAUUCAAGAUUUUUGAAUUUUUGAGCAUUUUUUCCUUCUAUUUUAUUUUACAUUUAACCAAAUAUUUGAUAACUCGGUAAGAACGUUUGCAUCUGUAAUUUCAUGAACUAAAACCCUAGUAAGGUUGGCAAAUUGAAGUGGGAGUGAUUGUAUUAGGUUUAGGGUUUCAAUGCUAAUUAGUUGGAUCAGGUUGAGUGAAAUUAAACCCUAGAAUUGAUGACUCUAGGAAGUAACUUAGGUAGAUGAGGCCGAAAGGAUAGUCUACUUAGCACCAAUUCAACCUAACCGGGUUUAAUUUAUUAGGUCAAAAGAUAAGUGAGUAAAAUAGAUCAAUUAAUCUAGUUAUAGGCUGAAAAGUAUUAAUUAGGUUAACUAUUAGUUAAUUAGUUAGUAAAAACCCCAAAAUCUAAGUUAAUCAUGAACGUAGAAGUUAGUCACCCUUCUGCUUGCUUAAAUUGAUUAUAGUUUUGGUAUUUAGCUUUUACAUAUUUUAGUUUUAUUUUGUAAUUCAUCCCUUCAGUUUUGUCGUAAUACGAUUAGUGCAUGAGUAUCUAUUUAGACCUAGGUAGUGUGUUUUUCCUUGCUAAUAAUUUAGUCUAAAAAAACAAACAUUAGGUACAAUCCACAGAAUACUUUCUUGUGUUUCGUUGUAAACUUAACUAUAUUACAAUUUCACAUGUUUGCUUGCAGAUACCGCACUUCAUUCACAUAUUCAAUUGCAUUUCUAAUCCCUGACGCACGCACAUUGGGGAGUGGUCAACAGGUCUCAUCAUAAGUUUUUAAAAUUUUGCUUCGAUGUUUAUAUGUCUCAAGACAAUAAAGUUCAUGUCUCGAGGCAAAAUUCCUCCCUUAUUUUCCUAUUUUAGCUUCGAUAUUUUCAUGUCCCAAGAUAAGAGGUUCUUGUCUUGAGACCUGGUGUAAGGAAAAAGUUAUUUAGCUUUGAUGUGCUCUUGUCUUGUGACCAAGAUUAGUUUGUCUCAAGACCAAAUUAACAUGUCUCGAGACACUAAGCAAUUGAAUUAUAAUAAGGUAAGUUUUUUUUAAUGGUCUCGAGACAUGCUAUUGUUGUCUCGAGACUUAAGUCUCAUUUCUUUAUGGUCAAAUAACCUCAAAUACAAAGUUUCAAGUAUUCAAACCUCACCUAAUUUUACCUAAACAUACCCAACAAUUACACUAAUGCAAAAUUACAAAAUUAACACAUGUAAACACAAUCAAACAUCAUUAAAUCAUAGUAUCAAUAGUAUUAAGAUCUAACCUAUUAAUUAACACAUUCGAACUUAUAUAAAAAAUAGAGGAAAUUGCUAAUCAAUCGAUAAAACUUAACCUUUAAAACUUUAUAGGUCAUAAUGCUAAAAGUACCAAGUAUUAACUUAAGAACAUACCGACUAAUCUAGGUACAUGCCAUAGGACCCAAAACAUUAUAUAUAUAAAAAAUAACAUCAGGUGACUUUUGAACUGAGAAAUAGAAAUUAGAUGAUUGUCGUCAAGUCUACUAAGCGCUUUUAUGAGACCUAAGCACGAAAAGUGAUGUGGCUUUACUAGUUCCAUAAGUAACCUAACUUAACCAAAUGAAAUGAAUCUUCAAGUCUUUAAUUUUAACACGAUUGGUCUUCAUGUGUUUGGAUUUUAAUUCAUCCAAAUAAUUCCACAACAUAUAGCUUAAUACGUCUAUUCUAAAAUUUGUGAACUCUUUAAAUAGACAUGUCACACCCCAAGUCUAGCAAAUCCAAUUUUAAGGCAUGUAGUAGUGAAAUAAUAUGUUUGGCGAAGUGUAAUCCACCCAAUUACUUCUUUUGGCGAAUAUGUGUGGACGUAUAGUAACCACCGUGUAAGUGUGCAGAGAUUCUAUUUCAAGUUAUUCUACUAUUUAAAGAGAAAUAUUUUGUUUAGCGAAAAGGUAAUUAUGGUAUGAGUUAUCACCAAAUAGAUAGUACGCCCUUUUGUCUUAAAUAUUGUGUUGGUUUGGUUAUAAAGUGGCCUUGUCAUGAACCAACUAGAUUGACUAGUCUAAUAUCUAUUAUGCAGGAUUUUCAUUUAUGUUUCUCUCGAAAUUUGUAGGCCAUUAAGGAAAAACAAAUUAUCUGUGAGAAGGGUUCUGAAAAAGGUUCUUAUUUCUCCAAAAAUGUUACUUUCUAAUUCUUUUUCUGAAAUCCAAUUUUAUCUCUUCCUCAUAUACUAUAAGCUAAGGUUCUUGGUUUAAUCAGCCGUAUGGCCAGGCCGUGUGCCUCACAUGGCUGAGACACACGCCCGUGUCUCAAGUAGUGUAACUUUCGAACUAGGGACACACGGUCGUGUCCUAGCCCAUGUCGUCACCCGUGUAACUUUCGCAAUUACCCCAUAGACCUGUAUGUCAGGUCGUGUACUAGGCCGUGUACUAGGUCGUGUAACUCAUUGACUUGCAUUCAAAGGAACCUUCAAGAGACACACAGCCGUGUCGCCAGGUCGUGUGUCACACACGACUGAGUCAUACACCUGUUUCUCAGGCCGUGUGGACCUAAAAUUCACCUAAAACAAGCCAUUCCCAACACCAUUUCAUGCAUAAUCAUCUGAGCCAUUUGUGCACAAUUACAAAGCAUCAAACCAUAUCUAAACAUGCAUAUAAUUUUCAUUCCAAAAGUCCUAAUUCAACUAACCAAUAUGUCAUUCAAAGGCACCUCAAAAUCAUUCACCAAAAUUUACCUAUACAUGUCAACUUACCAAACUUUCAAGCAUCAGUAUUUAGUUCAAUACUUUCCAAGACAUGUCAUAACUUGACUAUAACCAUACCAUUUCAAAACAUACCUUUUGAGCCAUUCAUAACAUGCAUCAUAAGAUAGCACAAUGACAUAAACUAGCAAGGCAUCAAAUGUACCAAACCAAGAUAACAUCCAUAACCUAUACAAGCCAUUUCACCAACCAACCAUUCAACAAAAUGACAUUACAAUUCAACCUAUACAUGCCAUUAUAACCUUGGCCAAAAACAUUCAAAAACUAUCGAUAUUUAUAUUGGAUAGUGUGAUAGAUCUCCAAUGAGCUUUCAAACCAAUCGAGCUUCUAAUAAUCUAUAAAACUUAAGAAAGAAACUACAUAAGCAAAUAAUGCUUAGUAAAUUCGUAGAAAAUAAAACAUGACUUACCAUUUCAUUUACAUAAGAAUAAGUAUAAGCAUAAUGUAACCCAAACCACAAGCUUGGCACAAGCCUAAACAUCAUCAUCAAUACACAUGUUAGUACAUUUAUACAUAACUCAUUUGGAUUAACCACAUGAUAAGUCAUUUUCAUAUGAAAACACAUCAUUGAAUCAUACAUCCUUUUCAUGAGCAUAUGCACAAUUCCACUUGAAAACUUACCGUUUCAAUCCAUUUUCUUACAUGUUGAACCAUCUAGAAUAUCAUUAGAUACACGAGAAAGCUCACACAAAGUGUGCUUAAACAUAUAACCGUAACCUUUCCUUUACAUCAUUGCUCACAUGAGCUGUGGAGAAUCUGCAACAAAUGCAAGACCUCAGCCAUCAGUAGGACAUUCAAGACCAGCACCAGAAAUAUGAAAUCCCUAAUGACAUGUCAUUUGUAUCCUAUGAAUUCCUAAGGUUCAACCGAGACUCGAUAACUGUCAUAGCAUUGAUUCAGAUAAUACAUCGUUCAAUUACAUUAUGAAUACAUAAUAACAUACAUUUGAAUAACAUGAAUAUAACAACCGUACAUACGAACUUAGCUCGAUAACUAGGGACGUGAAAAUAAAUCGAGUUAUUCUGAAGCUUUUGCUUUGCCUCGAUUUAGGUCCGUACGUGGUCUAUCUUGAUCAUGCACCCAUCUAAGCUUGACUGAACAAGCAUUCAUCCAUGGAGAUUUCUUUUUCUUUAAAAUCGGUUAAAGCAAGGAAAAUAAGGAUGAUAUCGUUUUUCUUUUCUUUUGUUUUAACCUUAUUUACCUAAUUAUCACUUUAACCUUUAAAAACUUUAAUAAUUUCAUUAAAACCAUGUCCAUAAACAUCUACUAUCACAUUAUUUGGUCUACUUACCAUUCAAUUCCCUUAGAUUAAAAUUUCAAAGCUAAUUGACUCAUUUAACUAAUGGAACUCUGCUUUUGUACUUUUUACGAUUUAGUCAUUUUUAAUUAACCAUGCAAACAUCAAAAUUUCUUUAAAAAAAUUUAAUACGACCUUACUAAUAUCUCAUAGACAUUAAAAUAAUAAUAAAAUAAAAAUUUACUCGUCAGAUUUGUGGUCCCGAAACCACUGUUCUGAUUUUACUGAAAACAGGCUAUUACAUAUUCAAUAAAGUUCGUUGGGAUAGUAAACAUGAAUUUUGGUACGACAAUUCUAAAGAAAGUCCAUGGCCUUGGCACAUUCUGGAAAGAUAGAUAAGCUGCAUUUAUCGACUAGGGUUUCUACAUGUCCUGAGGCGGUGAUGGGCAAACCUCACGCGAUUUUGAGUUUAGGCAAAUCCAUUUCAAAAACACGAUAAUUCACUUGUGGUGCCUAGGUGGCAUCCAAACAUAGCCUUUGUGGCGUUCUUAGUAAUGCCUUUAUGGCGUAUUCUAUUUGGCCUUUGUGGCAUUCUAUUUUGCCUUUGUGGCGUACUUCUACUAAAGCUUAUGUGGCCUAUACUUUAUGUCACCUUUGUGGCGUAUUCCUUUUGGCCCUUGUAGUGUACUCUUCUAAGUCUAUGUGGGGAAUUAUGUAUCGCUUUUACGACAAGUUCUGGUUACAUUCUGAGAAGUUCUCCGACAAAUAAGUCUCUAAUAAGGAUAUGAUAUGUUUGAAGUUAUUUUGGUUUGAAUAGUUCUGUGAAGUAAUCGAAUGGAUCUGUGUGUUCGGAGAGGUUAUCCACUGUGGUCAUCUGUCAAUUUAGAGUAUAGACAUAUACUUAGUUAUAAGAGUUAUGCAAUUGCCCAUCAGUCUUAUCUCAUUUGUGUUAUGUUGGGUUGAGAAAUCUGAGUUGAUGGUAUCUGCCAUAUCUAAAUAGCAUCGUGUUUCGAUUUUGGAACUAUUCUGUAAUCUCGUUAUCUGUCAACUUGGGCAUUGUUAUGCUUUGUAAAAAGAGUGUGAGGAAUACUUCUGAAUGAUUUGGUUAGGUUAUUAUUCAUAUGAAUUUGAGUUAAGUAUCAAAAUAGAAUAUGAUUUGAUCGGUAAAUUGAUGUUAUCCGACUUUAUGUGGGUAUCCACCAAAGGUGUAAGUAUAUGUCAGUAAAUAGUGUUUGUGAACAAUUAUUUUGGGAGAAACAGUGAAAUUUGGUUGAAUUGAGAAGAAGAGGAGAUAUUAUUUGGUAAGAUCUGAAGUUAGCCAAUGAAUUAGGUUAAGGAUGAUACAUUAAGUAUGGUAAGUGGCACAAUAGUAUAUAUAUAUACGUCCGAUGACAUAAAGGUACCAGCCAAAGACAGGCUUGGUCAUUCAAAUAUUCAAGAUGAAGAAUUCAACAUGAAAUGUUUAAAGGUAAUUUGUAUUUCAAACUCACUAAGUUCAUAUAACUUACAAGUGUUAUGUUUAUAUUUCAGGUUAUGUGGUAUAAAUGAGUUCGCCAAAAAGGACAAGCCAGGAGUUCACCAAAAAGCGAUGGGCUGGAAUAUUAUGCAUAUAGUAGAAAAGUUGCAUAUUGUAGAAUUACGCCUUAUAGAGUUUUCCUUUAGUAAACUCUUGUGUUGUAAUAAAUUGUAACAAGUCUGAUGUAAUAUAUUAUUUUAAAUAUUUUUCUUUGUUUCUUUAAUAAUAAGAAUUUAAGUAAAAUAAUAAGAAAAAUGUUUAUGCCAAGGUUCAAAAAGGUUGUUUUGAAAAUUAAGAUAAGUAUAUUGUGUAAUAACUCCCAAGUUCUGGACCCAGUGAAUCGAGUCAGGUUGAGGGUGCUACAAGACUAGUAAAGCAAUGAAACAGUACUUAAAGUAUUGUUUAUUUAUUUCCGCCACAGAAACAACAACAGAAUCUUUCUUGCCAUCAAAUUUGUCAAAAAUUUAGAUUAUAGAUUAAAUUUUUAAAAAAAUAAAAUUUUAAGCAAUGAUGGUAAUAGUAACAUUCCAUUUGUUGAUCUUAAGAAUUAUCUUAUAGCAGCCCACUAUCCAAUGCUUAGCAUGGUAAAGGUGGUAAACAAAUGGGUUUGGUUAGGUUUUUUUAGAUUUAGAUUUUCUUGACCUUAGAAUUUUUGGGUACUCAGAUUUUCUUAAAUUCAAAUUUUAUUGAGUUCAAAUUUAUUUUUAUUCGAAUCAAUUCAAACCAUAUGAACUCUAAUAAAUUCAAAUAAUUUUAAAGUUUGUAAGUUGGUAUAUAUUUUUAAUUUUGAAUAUGAUAGUUGAUUUUAUUUUUUAUAUUUUAUAAUGGAAAUGACACACAUUUUAGUACAUCAUUUCUCAUUUUUUGGUGUGAAUAUUUUGGAAUUGAAACUUUAAUUAGUGUGUUGGAUGGUUAGAGUUUGAUGGAUACUUUUCUCCAUGUGCAAGGGCCCAUUUUCUCUUUUCAUGGGUCUGGUUAUAGGCUUUAAUGGGCUACAUGCUCCAUUCAUCACUCCAAUAUCUUUUAUAAUUUUUAACAACUUUUACCAUUAACCUCCAAAAAAUAAUAUAAUAUAAUAAAAGGACUAAUAUGUUAGGCUUAGUUCUAAUUAGUUUUAAAUCAUAGGUACAUUUAAAGGGGGGGAAAUGUGAAGGCAUGAUAAGUGGAAAAGCAUCAAAUUAUUAAAGUAACUUAUAUUUUUUUUAUUUUAGGUAAAUCACAAUUUUAGUUUUUAAUGUUUAUAUUUAUCAAUUUAAUUUUUAUUUUUUGAAGUUAAAUUUGGUCAUUGACUUAAAAAAAUUGAAUUUAAUCAUCAAUUUUUUAAAAAGAGUUAAAUUGUUAUUUUUUAAUAGAAAUAUUGGCUAAAAUGUUAAAUUUUUAAAAGUGACUACAAAAAUGUCAAUCCACGUAUACUUCAUUCUAUUUAAAAAAAAUUAUAAACAUUUUUUAUUUUUAUAAUUCUUAAAUAUUUAUUGAUGUGACAUACAAGACAAACAAUGACAUGUUAGUAUAGAAUACACGUAGAUUGUCAUACAAAUUGCCACAUCAACAUCGUUAAAAAAUUAAUGUUUUAAUCAACAUUGUGAAUUAACUACUUUUGAAAAGUUUAUGGUCAAAUUUAACUAAAAAUAAUAAUAACCAACUUUAAAAAAGAAAAACAUUAAGAGCUAAAUUUAUUAUUAUACCAUUAUUAUAUAAUUGUGUUUUUAGAAUUAAAGGUUUUCGUGUACAUUUUAUAACAGCUAGUACUACCUUAUAAUAUAUUUAUGUACCAAAAAUUAACCUAUAUAUCAGCACAAAUAUAUAUAUAUACGCCUUGAAUUCUAUAUGAAAAUUAACUCGUAUAUAUAUAAAUAUAUACAUAUAUGUGUGUGGAGGCAAAGGGCAAGGGGCAAGCAGGUUCUGGCUUCCUAAAACGAGAAAAUUCUUCCAUAAUAUUUAAGUUAAUAUAUACUAAAACUAUAGUUUGACCCAAAAAUAAUAAAUGUUGAAUAUAAUGAUAUAAUUAUAUUUCAACUCUUAUAAAAUAUAUAAUUUAAUCUCGUUUUGUAAAAAUUAUUUACCUUUAUCUUAUAUACAUACGAUAAAAAUCAUUAAUUAUGACAAUUCAAACCUAAAGUGUUACCUAUUGGUCGGGCACCUUCCCUAGGAAAUCUAAGUUGGAAUCACAAUUGUAUCAAAAGAAAAUUAUGAGAAAUUUCAAGAAAUUUUUUAUAUGUUGGAAGCUAUUGUUAGAGCAUGUAUCAAGCCAUUUUCUUUACUCAUCAAGUAUUUGUAAUGAUAUAUAUACAUGUUUGCCAAUAUUAAUUACUACUUAUAAAGUGUAAUCACCUAACACUCUAAUAUUAUGACAUGUCAUCACUUAAAAUUUAUAUAAAAUUAUAAAAAUAAAUAUUUGUAAUUUUAGAGUGAUGUUGUAGUACAAUCUUAAAAUGUCACAUCAUCACACGUUAAUGGAAUUAAAGUUUAAGGACCAAAAUUAGGACAAACUGUCAAGUUUUGUAAAUAAUGUGAACUAAAAAGAAGUUUAAGUAUCAAGGUGGACUUAAUUACCAAGUUUAGAAAAAAUUAACUUUUUUUAAUACAAUUAAAGUGAUUAAAGCGGUAAGAAUGGGUAGAAUUAAAGCUAAAAAUAAUCUUAAACUAGUAUGGUUUCCAACCAUGCUUCACGUUGGGUUAAUUAUUUAUUUCUUGACUAAAUUAUAAUGUAAAAUUUUAAAUGUUACAAUUUACUCAAAGUUGUUGUACUCUCCGAAUAUUUAGAAUCUAAUCUCCAUAUAUCUUUAUUUUCAAGAAUUUAAUCUCUCUACUUCUCGAAUUUAAAAUUUUAGGUCCAUUAUUAGAAUUUUUUUCUAUUAGUGUGGCAUUUUGAAAAUAAAAUAAAAUAAACUUGGUAUUCAUGUAACAAAAAAUAACAUUAAUGUAACGGACCUGAAUUUAAUAAAAAAUUUUAAAUGUUCUAACAAUUCUUAAAAAUUCACAUUAUCGUUUCAAUUAGAAUAAAGUAGGCUAACGAAUGACAUUAUAAAAGUUGAGGUAUCAAAUUAUGUCAAAACUGAAGUAUGUAGAUUGAAUCUCAAAUUUGAGCGAAAUAUAGGGAUCAAAUUGAAAUUUAACAAUCCUUACAAUCUAGAAAGUAGAGGGAUUGGAACUGAAGUUUACCCAUAAUGUUCUCGUGUAAAAGAAAAAAGGAAAAAUUUUACUAUUAUUUUAGAAUUAAAAAGAAAAAGAAAAGAAAUAUUGUAGACAUGGGUCAUGAUAGGAGGAGGCCUUAGGGCCUUCUUUUUAUAUAGUAGAUAGCUUUGAAAUAAAAAUAUACCAUCUUGGUAGGAAAAAAGAUUAAUUUGAGAAAAGGUAGAGGUGAGAUAUUGAGUCUCACAUGUGUUGGUGAGUGAGUUAAGUUAGUUUAAAUAUCACAAUUUGAUUGUAACUCGUGAUAUAAUUUCAAGUGGAUCAAGUUAGAUCCAUACAAAAUUUUAAUAUUAUACACAAUUAUUUAAAUUUUACCUAUAAAUGCUUAACUCAAACUUGUAAAGCAUUUUUUUUAAUUUUUAGAAAUAUAAUUAUUUUUCUUUAAAAACAUAUCUUAGAUUACCUUUAUAUGUUUUUAUUAAAUUUCUAAACAUAAACCAUUAAAUAUUUUUUUUAAUAUUUAAAUUAUAAUAAGUAUAUAUUUUUAUUAAAUUUAAAUUUUCAUAUAAUAUAUUAUAUAAAAAGAAAAAAUAACUGGACUUCAUCAAAUUUGAACUUUAAAUAUUGAAACUUGCUCGACCUAUAGUAAAUUCAUUUUUUAAAUUUAAUAAUUUUAAACUCAUAUCAAUGGAUUUAUUUUUUAAGUUACAACUAAAGAUGGAAAAAGCAAAGUAUGUGAAUAUAAGAAUGUCGCACUUUAGAUUUAAUUGUUUGGACCUGAAUUUUUGUACUUAUAACCAACAAAAUCAUACAUAAUCACGUUUCAUUAUAGGAUGUAUCAUUGACUAGAAAAUAUAUUAUUAUUGAAAAAUUAAAUCUUUCAUAGUCUCAAUAAAAUUAACUCCGAAAUUCGAAUAAAAUGUUAAACAUUAAAAAUAAAUUAGUACUAACUAGAAAAUGGAAUCAUGUGAUUCUUUUUUACCCUUUCUUAUUGUUAUAAUAAACAUCGAUAAUGACGGUAGAACAAUCGCAAAGUAAAUAAGAAAAGAAACAAUAAGGGUGCGUUUGGUUCGCUGUAUUGGAUUAGAGGUGUAAUAGCAAAUCAACUGUUUGGUUGAAUGUAAUGGAAUAGAGGCGUAAUAGUAAUCUUGUGUUUGGUUGAAUGGAAUAGAGGUGUAAUAGCAUGAUGGAAAAAACUAAAACGACUAGAAUACCCUUAGCAUAAAUUUGUUUUGGUAAAUGAUUAUUGUUAUUGUUAUUUAAAUUUUAAUAAGAUUAUUAUUAUCAGUAAUAAAUAUUUUAAUCAUAUUUAAACAUUAUUAUUAUUAGAUAUAUUUUAAUUAAAAUAUAUAAUUUAAUAAAAUUCUUAAUAAUUAGCAGAAAUUUGUUUUGGUAAAUUAUUAUUGUUAUUGUUAUUUAAAUUUUAAUAAGAUUAUUAAUAUCAAUAAUAAAUAAUUUAAUCANNNNNNNNNNNNNNNNNNNNNNNNNNNNNNNNNNNNNNNNNNNNNNNNNNNNNNNNNNNNNNNNNNNNNNNNNNNNNNNNNNNNNNNNNNNNNNNNNNNNNNNNNNNNNNNNNNNNNNNNNNNNNNNNNNNNNNNNNNNNNNNNNNNNNNNNNNNNNNNNNNNNNNNNNNNNNNNNNNNNNNNNNNNNNNNNNNNNNNNNNNNNNNNNNNNNNNNNNNNNNNNNNNNNNNNNNNAAAAUAUAAAUUAACAUAAUUAUUAUUAAAUAUAUUAUAAUUAAAAUAUAUAAUUUAAUAAAAUUCUUAAUAAUUAAUAUUCUUAUAUGAAUUUACUCAAAUCAUAAUAUAUGAUACUAUAAAAGAAAAUUUGAAAUAAUUAAUAUUAAAUAUAUUUUAAUUAAAAUAUAUGAUUUAAUAAAAUUCUUAAUAAUUAUAACUAAUAAAUUAUAUUUCCAACUGAAACAAGCCAAACAACAUAAGCAGUAUUAGAACGGGGAUUAUUAAAUCGACUUUUGUAGUAUAAAGUUCCAAAAAAAAAUUUCUUUAUCUGUAGAUAGAGAGAAUCAUAUUCAUAAAACAUAUAAAAUUUGACGUUGAUGAACUGCAGUCUCUUCCAUUGUUAAUGCAGGUUGAAAGGCUUGAUUUCAAUAGUGUUACGGCCUUUGUAUUUAACUUCAAAAAGAAGUUUGUACAAUUGCUCCUUGUAAUAUUUUUUUUCUUUGCUUCUAUUGGCUGGGUUAGAAAUUCAACACAAUAUUUUUGAAAGACUUGUAUAAUUUCAUCUGCUCAAUAAUUGGAAAAACUCAAUUUGAUUUCUUCCUUUAAUUGUCUCUUUUUUAAGUACUAAUUAUCAGCAACAGGCAGGGCGAUUUAAUGUGGUCAAAACAACCACAUCAAGCACUCUCAUCUCUUUGUUUGCAGCAAAGAUGAACUCAACAGCUUCAAACCAUGGCAAAAUAAGUACAGCAUAUAUAACCAAAACAGGAUAUGCUUUCUUCAAUUUAAAUAACAUCUCAACUUAAAUAACGGAACAUUCAUAUUAUGUUCGGAACACAAAAUAGGUAACUUAUAAAGUACUGAAUAAAAAACAGAAGUGUCCACUGCCAUGGUUUAUGCAAAGUCCUACCAAUUCCUCAACGAUUGGCCUUGGCAACUCUCUCGAUUUCGUCCUUCUUCUUGAUGGCAUAGCUGCACAAACAACGCGAGAAUGAUGAAGCAAGCUGUGGUAAAUAAAUGGGAUUGCAAGGACAGUUCCUUGUUUCAAAGCAAAAUAAGGUUCAAACACGGGAGUUCAAAGGCUGUUAUUUACCUGUUAGAUGAUCUAUUUGCUGCGUUAAUAAGCUCAUCAGCCAAACAUUCAGCGAUAGUUUUAAUGUUUCUGAAUGCAGACUCACGAUUACCAGUGGUGAGGAGAUAGAUGGCCUGAUUCACUCGACGAAGAGGAGAAAUAUCAACAGCCUGACGCCUCACAACACCAGCAGAACCAAUACGAGUAGCAUCUUCACGAGGUCCACUGUUAUAUCAAUCAAAAAUCAACAAGGAUUAUCAAAGAUUGAUCCAACAAAGAUAACCCAGAAUUGGAAGAUGUUUUAAUUAACAUCAUCUGCUACUUUAAAGAUUAAAGUCAGCUAGUGAUACAUUUGAAAAAGGAAAUUCUUAAAGGUCAUAUAGGCCACCUGUUGAUAAUGGCAUCAACAAUGACUUGAAUUGGGUUCUGAUCAGUCAGGAGAUAAAUAAUUUCCAUAGCAUGCUUCACAAUCCUGACUGCCAUAAGUUUCUUUCCAUUGUUUCGGCCAUGCUUCAUCAAUGAGUUUGUAAGCCUCUCAACAAUGGGGCACUGAGCCUUUCUAAAACGCUUAACUGAGUACCUCCCAGCAGUGUGUAAAACAUGUGAUAGAUUAUACACUACUCCACAUGUAAAACAUUCAACUAAAUGGUUACAUGGUACUUUUGCCUCAACUAAACCUAUAUCCAAAACCACACAUUAGAAUUUCUCGACAAACAAGCCAUAAUAAGACCCAGAAAUACUGAAAAUCGAACAUCUUGAAGAUUAUAGAUGCUACUUUUUAAGUAACUUUAGAUCAAAACUAAAAUCCAAAAAUCAAGUGACUUUAGAUCAAAAUUAAAAUCCAAGAAAAGAGAAACAACAUAAAACAAAUAUUCAAACAAAAGCAAGAAAAGUUGUAUAAAAUGAAUUGAUGAAACAGAAACUCCAAAAAAUGAGAAUGCAAUAGAUCAGAAGUUCUCCGCAGUUGUCAAGAUUAUUAAUCAGCUGUUCAUUUUUAAUGCAUGGACAGUAUCCUCAGAGACCAUUUCACAAUUAAAACUCCUGCUUGGCCACGACAAAACAGAAAGUUCAGCCAUAGAACUUCUUGCUUAGAAAUUAAAAUCCACCAUGUAAUUAUGACAUUAUAAACUCAAUCAUACUUUAUCAUUAUAUAAUGGCUUCACCACACAUGAAGUUUGAAUGGCGAAAUAAAGGGAAAAAAAACAGAAGCCUAAUCCACGCAGUUUUAACUUUCUACUCCAAACUAGAGUUAUUUCAACAGACAACUGAAGGAUACAAGAUAGAAUGAUAAUGCAGGAGAAUUGAUAAUUUAUCCCCAAAAAAACCCUAAUUUCAACAGACAAAACCCACCAUAGUUGAAGAACACAAAUCUGUUUUUUGUCGACAAAACAAUCAUGAGGAAGAAAAAUAAAAAUCCAAAUUAAGUAAAAAAAGAGAAGAAGCACUUGCCGCUUCUGUUGAUGUUGGUGAAAGAUGCCAAGAUGCCAAGAUGAAAGUUGGCGAAAGAUCUGAGCGGGUGGAGGUUUGGUCCGGUGGCAACUUCUGUUGAUGUUGGGAGGGAGAGGGAGAGGGAGAGGGAAAGGGUGGGGUAGAGAACGAUUUCUGCUGGGAAGGGUAAAACAGACACCGAUUAGCUAAUCCUUUCUUUUGGAAGGGAUUUGAAAUCAGCGUUGAAGCAGAGAAAAUGAGGAUUGCGUACGUAACGUAAUAGGCCCGUAUUAGGGCAAUACACCCAACCAAACAUGGGAUUAAGUGGGCCCACCGAUUAGGGGUGUAUUGGCUAUGCCAAUACACCCAACCAAACAUACUCUAAGAACACACAGAUUUUACAUAGAAACCCUUUCGGGAAAAAACUACGGGCAAAGGAGAAGAAAUUCACUAAGACUCCAUUUGUUUUACUGAAAAUAGCUUCCGGAAAAUUAUUUCUAGAAAAUAACUUACCUUUUUGGAAAAACUAAUAUUUUCUGGUAUUUGGAUCAACUUGUAUAAAAUACUUUCUAUUGUUUGACAUAUUUCCUAAAAAUAUUUUAUAAAAAGUUGUUUCCAAUAAAACAAACAUACAUUUGAGAUUUUUUUUUUAUCUUUUUAGUAUUUAAUUGAGUUUAUUUUUAUAUCCAUAAAUUUUUUAUAGUUUUUGCAUAUAUUAAAAUUAUUUUCUUAAAUUCAGGUUCAUUACAACGUCAUUUUUUAGUUACAUAGCUACAAAGUGAGUAUUUUUUAUUUAAAAAUAUGACAUCAAUAAAAUUGACAAAAAAAUUUAACAAUCUUAACAAUUGGAUUUGAUUUUCAAAUUUGAAAAGUAGAGGGACUAAAUUCUUGAAAAUAAAAGUACAAGGACUAAAUUCCAAAUUUGUGAAAAAAACAUGAACUUAUGGCAUAUUUAACCUUUAUACUACAAAACAUUUAUUAUUAAUAUAUCUAUAAUUGUAAUAAAUAUUUAUUCUUAAAAUAUUAAUAUUGAACAUUUUCAAUAAUAUGUGAAGAAUAUUAUUUAAAAUUAUUAUUUUUAAAAUUUAUUCUUAAAAUAAAAUUGAAAUAUUAAAUAUUUUAUUUUAUUAUAUUAAUUAUAUUAAUAAUUUAUUAUAUGAUUAAAUAUAAAUAAUUAAAUAUGUAUGUUUAAUAAUAUUUAUAAUUAUAAUAUUUUAUAUUAAUAAAUUUAAAUAUUUAAAAAAAUAAAAAAAUAUUAUUAAUAUAAUAAUAUUAAGUAUUAUUUAAGUUAAUUUUUAUAUAAAAAUAAAAUUACCAUAGAAGAGCACUUUUCUAGAAAAUGACUUACUUUUUCAAAAGGGUAAGUCAUUAUACAGGAAAAAUGGCUUAUUUUCCGUUGAUCUAUAACUAAUUUUCUGUUGACCAGGCUAUUUUUUUGUGAAAUAAACAUAGGAAAAUGUAGAAAACAUUUUCUAUAAAUUAUUUUACGAUGAAACAAACAGAGCCUAAUGUUGAAAAACGAAUGAUACAAGAGGAGUUUCGACUACAUCUAUUUAAGAGUUGAAAAAUCAUAUUCUAAUCAAAAUCAUAUAAUAAAAGUAUAGUUUUAUACAGACUCAACUUAUGUGGUAUGGUCCGCUAACCCCACAGAUCCCUUAUUUUGUCACUGUAUUUAUUUCUUCAACAAGUAACGGAAUUCAGGUCACAUAAUCUCUAACACUUAUUAAACUUUUUGUUUAUUUGUAAAAAAAAAAAUUGUUUAAUACUAUGGUCAAAUUGUAGUUUUAGUUCAACUAUUAUAUUUAAAAUUUAAUUUUAAUUUCUAUAGUUUAAUUUGACAUAAUUUUAUUCUCCACUUUUAUCAUAUUAUUUGGUUAAUCUAAAAAGUUAUAGGUAAAAUAUUAGUAUAAAUUGCCAACAACUUUUUAGUUUAGUGACAUCGUGUACAUAAGAAUCUAGAUUCAGUUUCAAGUAAUCAUAUUUUCCAUCCCCAAUUAACAACACAAAAAUGUUAAUAUAUAUUUCUUAUCCUUAAAACCAACAAUUCCAACUCAUUAUACUAACAUUUGGAUAAUAAUAAUAAUAAAACCUUUAUUAUGCUAAACUUUUUCUUUUGUUGGAAAAAUUAUUUUAUUUUGAAAAAUAGGUAAAUAUUAGAUUAACUGAUCAUAAAGUCGUAAAAUUGGAGGGAGUAAAUUAUGCUAAAUUUAAAGAGCAAGAACUAAAUUCCGAAUUUCAACAUAGCAGAAGGACAAAACCCAGAAUUUGACCUUAUACUAUCUAUUGUUAAAAGUCACAUUAGGGUUUAUUUCAAACGUCAGCUCUCUCUCCUUCUCUUUCCCAUCACUUAGCAUCACCACACCAAACCUAGAACCAACCAGUUUCUGGAUUUAUUUCUUCUUUAAUUGAACCCAUUCUUUUAAGCACACAAACGACAGACCUUGGAUUAUCAUGUUCAUCAUCAUCUAUUUUGUUCUACUUGUAGAAACACAUAAACUAAAACACACACACACAAAAAUGAAGUUGUCGAUCAAGGCCCUUUUGUAAUAAGUUAAAGAGACCUGCGUUGAAGAACAGUACUGAUGUUGGUUCGUUGUCUCUUAACAUUCCCUGAAGAAUUAGAUUCAUCCCCACAAGUACUCUUCUCCAUCACCGCUUUCAAUGCUUCUUGUAUUGAACCAAUAACGUCACCACCAUCACUGCUACAGCUCGAUUCUUGUUCCUCUCCGGUAAUGAAGAGUACAUUCUUGACACGCCCGCCCAGCGUCGUGAUCUCAGCUUUCAGUGUUUUGAGACGUAAAUCUUUCAAUGCUUUGAUUAGGUCAGGCAAAAGAUCGGACCUAUCUUCACAGCAAAGCGAAGCUUUUAUCACGAACUUACCAUCUUGGUCCGAUGUAUCCACCGUUAGUUCAUCGGUUUCGGUCGGUACCGGACUUGUUUCUGCUAUCAAACACGUUUGCCGUUUAAGCUCUUUCACGUGUUGGAUCACUUCCGCAAGCAGUGAAGCCUUGUCCGUCUAUGUUACAUGGUGGCCGUAACCAAAACAACAACACCAUUAAUUAACACGCAUGCUAGGGUACCUCUGCCAGCAAUGAAGCUAGCUUUUGUCCCAUAUUCCCAUAUCACAAGAAAUAACCAAAAGAAAGAAAAAUAGAAGACAACAUAUGAAAUCAAUUAAGCAAGAAAUGCCAUUAAUAGCAUAUUAAAUAGAUCUUGUUUGUGUAAAGAAUAGAUGGAUUUUUGCUAAUUUUCCCACAUCCAAAACUUCAUUGUUAAUGAUGGGGUAUAUUAUUGUUUCAAGGUGUAACUAACAAAGGAUAAUAGUUUAUCAAGGCAUGCGGAAGAUAAUAGUGUUGAGAGAGUUUUGAUUUCUGUUUAGGGAUUUCAUCCGACUCAAUGUAACCAUGGGAGACUAAUACCGGAAGGUCUCGUAAAAAAAUGGUUUGUGUAGCUUUAUUACCUUUGGCUUCCUAGUUAAUUUGGUUGAUGAUCCGGCAAGAAAUUUCCAAGGGACUGCUCCUUGGUUUCUCUUUAUCAUAUCAAUGCUCAAUCCCUUUCGUUGUUUACUUUCCCUUCUUCUUGGAACCACCGCAAGUCUUAAAGAAUAAACCAAAAGACAAGCAUUUGUUCUUUUUAAUGAAAAGAUCAAAACUGAAGGGAAAAAAAGAUGGGCCAAAAAGAAAUUUGACAACCUUUCACGUCUAAAUGAGUAGGUUUUGAUAGCUUAUUAUCAGACCAUGUGACCAACCAUCUAAGUAGAAUCUUAGGAAGACCUACAGGUAUCUUUGAAUGGGGGGAAAAGCUCGUUAUAAAACAAAACAAAAAGGGGUGCACCAAAAGGUGUAUGUAUGACACUUCCAAAUAAUAUACUAGGACAUGUUGUAGGCGUGAUGGUUUAUAAUGUUUUCUUUUUGACAAUUUUAUAAGCUUUUUUGUUUCAUUUUAAUGAACUGUACAAUGACUACACCUUACUUUGGUGGUGCUUGGGAGUAAGCUGCGUAGCUUUGCGAGAUGGUUGUUGAUUCGUUCUCUUCUUCUCCUUUCAGCUUCACUGUGACUCUUAGAAGCAGCCAUAGCCUUAGCGUCCAUGAUUUCUUGAGCGGUCAUCUUACCUAACUCAGCUUGUAGCCCCAAAGGAGCUGAGCCAACAGCUCCAAAACUGUCGGAUAAGAUCCUCAGGCGAUUAACUGAUGGGGCACCAUCGUAUGCAAACUGUAGGGCAGCGGCAGGAGGAGCUGUUGGGGUAAAUAACCCCCCGUAUGAUGAUGAUGGAGGGGGGACUAGAAAAGAGUCGUGGACAUGGUCCUGAACCGGGUUUCCGGUGAAGUACUGGAUUGGACUGAGAGCGUGAACCGGUGGGAAAGACCAAGGUAGUUGAGGGAAUACCAACCCUCCCGUAGUUGCUCCAAAUAACUCAUCGUUGUGUAGUUGGUGGUGUUGUUGGGAAGCUUGUAGGUUAUGGAUAGGUCGAGGAUAGUCUCCUUGAUAUUCUUCUUUCUUUGCACACAUAAUAAUUAUAUCCGUACUCUCCGCUCGGCCUGCCCUUAACUCUAUUGAUCACUUGCUAUUCUCUGAUAUGAAUUAUGAAAAAGUAUAUUGAAAUUGGAACAAAAAAAUGGUUAUGAAUGAAGAAGAAGAAGAAGACUAAAGAGAGAAAGAACUUCCCUUGAUGGAUAUGUUAUAUAUAUAGAUGGAAUUUUCAAAGCAAGCUAACUAGCUAUCUCUCUAAAUUCCUGUUGUACAUGAUUUCUUUGUGGUGGUGAUAAAUCGAUAAAAGAGAGAGAGAACAAAGAAAAAAAAUGGAACAAGGCAAGGAAAAGGGGAAAAGGAUAGGACUCAGUGUAGAAUGAAUGAUGAUGAGUCAAUAUCUUUCACUGGUUUGUGGGUAAUCUGAUCUGAUGACCCUUUUGAUUACCCUUAGCAAAAUCAAAACAAGCUUUCGUUUUCAUAUACGUGCCUUGUUGGACUUGGAAGAAAUGGUGUGUCUUUUUGGUUCCUUCGAUUUAUUUUUUAUAUAUGUAUAUUGUGUUUUGGUCUCUCCACUACACUAAUUUAUAGAGUGUAUUUUGCAAGUAGUGUUAGUGCUAGUCUCCUUUCCUUUCCUUUCCUUUCUUCUUACGGCAAUCCCCCCUUCAUGUAGCUAUCAGCUUGGCUUGGGGAGAGAGGCUCCUCUUCUUUUCUUUAUUAAUUUUUUAGUCUAUCUCACCUUUUUCGAAUAAUAAAAUGGUCUAACUUUGUUCUCACCCUUCUUACACUUUUAAUUUCAAAUUUUUAAUUCAAUUUUAUACUUGAACUCUAUCAAAAGAUUUCAUUUAUAUUAAAUCAUGUGGCACUUUAUAAAUAAAAACGAAUUGUUGAUGUGUCCAAUAUCACGCAUAUGGAGGAUUUAUUAGGCAAAUAAAAAUAUUAAAUUUAGGGUUGUAAGGUGUAACGAAGCAGGGGACUGGAGAUAGGGGCCUUGGUCCACCUUGCUUAAAUGAAAUAAUUUUAAUUUUAGCCCCUUUUGAGGGACAGUUUUUUUUUUUUUCAAAAUGACAUAUAAUCCAAUUUAACAAAAUUCCUUUGGAUUCUAUUAUUAUUAUUAUAAAUGAAUUUGAACAUUAAAUCAAAAGAGUAGGAGAAGUAAAUUCAUGAAAUUAAAAGUAGCCGGAUUAAAGUUUAAAAAUGUAAAGAAAACAGGGAUUGGAGCAUAAUAAAACCUAAUAAAAUAACAACAGCGUGAAGAGAGAGAUGGGGAACACAACGCAACACACACAGAGAUUGUCGACCGACCAAAAUCCAAAAAGGCUGAUAAAAGGGUUAGCUUAGGUAAACCCUUUUCAUAUGGUUUUAAUUUUAAUAUGGUGGGUUAAGCUCCCACGUUGUUCCACACUCUUGGCUAUUUUCCACGCCCAUCCUUUCUGCUUUCCCAACAUCAUGCAAUCAUUGUGUCUUGGAAACCCUCCCCCCGCCCUUCUGAGCGACCUAUCUUCAACAUCAAACACAUUCCUGCCCUUUAUUCAAUUGGCCUUUCAAGUUGAUGUUAAUUAAUAUAUGCUCCUUUUUUUAUCAUAUAAUUAAUUCAGAUGCAUAUGUGGUUUGUUUUUUCUUAAAAUCCUUUUAAUUGAUGUUUACUAUAUAUCGGUUAAAAUACUAUUUUUUUAAUGAUUUAAAUUUCAUCACUGUUAUUUAUAUUAUAUUUUGGAAAUAACUUGUAUAAGAAUAAUACUAAAAAUUAUAGUUUUUAGGUAUUAGUAAAAUUUUAUCAUAUUAUCAUAUUUUAAAGAGAUAAAAUUAUUAUUAUACACUUAUCCUUAGAGAAAUUAUUUUAUAGACCAUUUCCAGCAUAUUACUCAUGGUCCAUUUCCAAAUAUUUAAUAACAUUUCAGCAAUUUUUUUAUGUUAUUGACACAUGAUUUUGGUGAUUUUUUUAUCCUGAAUCUAGAAUCCUGAACCCUAAACCCAAAACUUAGAACUCCAUAUCCUAAAUCCAAACACCAAACCCUUGAAUUUUAAAUCUUGAACCUCGAAAUCGUAACCCGUAACCUCGAACCCUUGAACCUUAAACUCAAACCCGUAACCUCGAAUCCGAACUCUAAACCUCCUUCAAC